rnacentral:lncRNA from 1 species
AGCAUUUUACACGUUUGGAUUUCUAGAGAGGUCGACCGCCGCUUUGAAUGUCUAAUCUGUCCCUUACAAUGUCUGGUCUUCCUCCAAUCGUGGGCCGCGUGGCACGGUUUUCACCACGUCGGUUUGCGAGAUGUCUCGAGAUCGUUCGUGGAUCCAUCCAGUCUAUGGUCCCACCGCCUUUUCUCUUGUAUAAAUAAGGAGUCUCCCAUCGCCCAACAGAAGACGAGCUCUCGUCCAUGGCAAAGAGAAAGAUGCAGAAAGAAUGGUGUGCGUACAGAGCAUGGGACGGUCGCAGCCGGGUACCCAAGGUGCCGGCGCUACUGGCUGACAAAGCCGCGCUAUGCUGCACAUGAGGAGGAUUGGAGGAACACCCAAUCAAUCGGAGGGCGGGUGGGCUGAGCAGCCGGACGGCGCUGCCAUGGGGGCAAGCGGUGAGCACGUGACAUGUAUCUGCCACUGCUGGCGAACGCUCCCGGCGCUGGAGACGGCCGUUCUUUUCCGCAGGUACGUGAAACCCAGCUGCAUACACAACCUAUCCCUCCAACCUCGCCCCAUCUCUGUUGUGCUUCCUCGGUGGAACUCAGACCGUGGCAUGCCAUUCCUAUCGCCGUCGUCACACCGAUGGCCCGGGCGGGAUCCGCCAUCCCCACGGCCGGGCCCCUCCUCGGUGGGCGCCCCUCCCUCAUCGCCGCCAACAACAGCGGAAGGUGCCGUGUCUGCACCGAGUGCCACGCCGUUUCCGACGUGGCGGAGCACAGCCACACGGCCAGGGCGCUCGGACUCCGCCCGCUCUUCGGCGCACCCUCCGGCUCAACCUGCGCGGUAGGCGGCUCCGGCGCAACGGCCCCCCACGGAGUCGUCGUCGGGCGCUCGACCCGGGCGUCAACCCCGUGGACCACGCGGGAGCAGGAUCCGCGGUCAGACCGUCCUCGCCGGGCGCCCGUUCGUGGCACAUGGCCACGUUGCGGCCAGCCACAGCGGACGCCCUCGUCUCUCCAAGGAGUGCCACAACGUCGCCGACGCGGCAGGGCACGGCCUGGACGCUCGGGCUUGGGCUACCCCCGCUCCUUGGCGGCUCCACCUCUGUCGCGACGGGCAACUAUGUUUUGUCUCUAAUGCAUGUUUGGCUAAAACCCUUCUAUUUUUUGCAGAGCUCUCACAAAUCAGUCAACCUACGAAGUGGCCAGAUGGAAGGGGCUAUUCUACUUGAGGUAUGUGCUAUCAAGAACAACGCAGGCUCCAGUGUGCUCUGAUUUUAUGAUUCUUCACUACUAUAUUGUUAGACUUGGUACUGGAGCUGUACCACUUGCAGGGUAAUUCUGGACAAAGCUCAUCCAUUCAGUAAAUGCAUAUAUAGAAACAUCUGUGACUUCUGCCUCACUAUGGAAUGAAGUUGCUCCGGAAGUCAUGUGAGGCUAGAGAUAUAGUUUACUGUCCUAUGAUUUCAGCAAUAUACGACUGGAAGUAGGUUCCUGUGAUUGAAACUGUACAGGGUGAUUUCUCACGCUUCUGUAUGAAUGUGAAUUCGAGCUGUGAUUGUAUGUCGCAGUCUACAGUUUUGCUCCUCUCUUUUCAUAGCCAAGCACAGUUUGCUCUUUUAAGCCAUUUGUGUUUGCAUCGCCAUUCAGAUUUUCUGUGAACUCAAUACCCUCCAAUUUCUCAUUCUUCUACUGUUCCGUUGUGCAAUAACCUUUCAAUCUAUGUAUUGCUUUAUGAAUUAGCAAAAAAAAAAAAACUCUGGCUAGAGAAAGCUGCACGUAUAAUGAUGCAUAUAGUUAGUCAUGGCAAAAAAUAUAUAUUUAGUUGCCACUGUAUUGUUACAUGUGAACCGCAACAAAACAGAUACUGCAAACAAGAACAAAUUCACACCUCUUCUGCUGGUGUUCUAUCACAUAUCAACGGUGAACACUAGGAUCGAUUGCGUUUGUUAUAUGAUAUGUAAUGUAAGCAGGCUUAUACAAUUUGUGUGUUUCUGUUGAUGUAGCUUACCUUGACAGGGGAGGAAAGCAUGACGGCCGUCUUUGUCAGGCUCACUGUGCAGAAGCUCUUGAUGAAGCACAAAACGUCCCAUGUCGAACCGCGGGCCGACAUGGUGUGAGAAUUGCAGUUAGCUGAAAAAUGGGGAUUAGACACAUGGAGAUGUAGCACUUGGGUGAGUAGGUACCUGCACGGCUUGUGAAUGGUCUGAAAUCUGAACCGUGAACCUCUCAUGGGGACUUGCCGCGCCUAGCUAGCUCUGAUCGCCGCCACUCCCCAAUGGUGAGCAUGUCGGAGAUCCCGCCACCACCACGCCCUACCUUGCCGCUUCCUCUUCUCCUCCGGCUUUGGCGGCCUCACUUGCAAGCGAGGAGCACUCGAUUGCUUCUUCUCCUCUGCCUCACGCGGCCUCGCUUCCUCCUAUUCUUCUGAGCUCAUGACAUUGUCUGCCGGCUUCUCCCUCUCUAAGCCACCCUCUACCUCGAGACAACCACGUACCUCGCCGAGGCGUGCUGCGCAGGUGAGGACCACUCAAUUCCUACUCCGGGCUGAGAGGAGACGCAGGAGCCACGGCGAGGGGCGGCGUUGAGCCGGCAAUGCAAGGAACAAAUGAACUAGGGAGAACGGGGAAUGGUGGAGGUGGGGAAUAGGCAGGGAGAUUCGAGAAGCUACACAGAUUCGGGAAUAGUGGAUCUCAGUCCACAGCCACACCACCGCUCGGUGCAGUCCAAGUGCAGCUAGCUAGGCACACACCAUGAGAAGAUGUGCGGUCAGGACUGUGCCGCGUGCGGGAGGGUCUGACCGAACGUCAGCGCAAUAGCGUCAGUUUUUUUUUAUUUUUUUUGCAAUAUAUAGAGCAUGCGGAAAAAAGGUAAGAUAAUCUAGAGCACAAAAGAACGAGAACAAUCGUAUGGAAUAUUGAUGGUUACAUUUAUUCUCAUGUAAGUUAGCUUUGAGAAAAUUUGACAUAUUGUAGCAGUCGAGGUUUGUGAAGUCUUAACCACUGCCCAAGAUAUUUGUUUUACCAUUUUGUAAUCAAGUUAGAAAUAUUUAAAAUAUACUACAUUCUUCCGUGGCCUUUUACCAUCACAUCUACAUUUCAAUUGACAGGAACUUCUGUAGUUGCAUACGAUUUUGUGUAUAUAGCGUGAAGUUUCAAAACAAACUGCAGUUGUAUACGAUUUUGUGUAUAUCGCGUAAAGUUUCACAACGAAAUUCAUGAAAACUAGCACAGAGUUUUAGAACAAAAUUCAUCUAACAACUCAAAAACUAUCAGCGAAACCCAGCUGAAGGAUCAACAUCUCUGGUCUAAGAAGAGAACAAGAGCUUCGCAAUUUUGCGUAGUGAAGCACAGCUGAAGGAUCAACAUCUCUGGCCUAAGAAGAGAACAAGAGCUUCGCAAUUCUGCGUCCAAGACAUCACAUAUGCAUAUACCAACUGGAUGUACCUUCUCCUUGCAUGAACUACUUUGCCAUGAAUCGGGUCUUGGGACAACUUACCAAAUAAUACAAAAAUACAAAAUAGCUAAUUAAUCCAUGUGGCGUGGCGUGCCGCCGCGCACUACCCGCUAGUUGAAUAGGACGAGCUGAUUGGCAUUCGACGAGACAGAAAAUGGGAACCCAGCCGAAUAGCCGCCCUCACUUCGGUCAAUGCCAAAUAUUUGGCCCGACAGAUCAUGGUGCGAUCUAGACAACCUCUCAGAACCAUGAAGCCUGGAUACUGCAAUCGAAACAACCCCUCGGAACCAUCAAGCCUGAAGACCACUAAGCAUCCACGUUUGCCUCCCAUCCAGUAUUGGAAAGGCGUCAAAUGAGAUUCGUCUACAUCCAACGGGACAUGACGUCGAGGUGCAGUGAGCAAGGCAAGGGGAUAGAGUGGGUUGCUGAGGGUGCAGGUGGAGAGAGAAACCAGUGGAGCUCUCAAACCUCUCUCAAAUCUAGGGGAGAAAUGAGGUUUGGAGUGUCUGAACAAGAUGGAAGACUGAAUGGCAGGUUUAUCAGACGAACACAUUUGAAAAAUAAUAGGGCUUAGAUGCGCUCACGGGGCUACGCGUAAUACAUAGAGUCAAUUGUUGACGCUGCAUUUUUUUUAAAGCCCUUUUGGAGUAUCUUUAAUAUUAAAGGGGAAUUAAUGUGUCUGAUGUCUCGCCUUCAGGUUUACUCCCUCCGUCUCCCCGACCUUAGGUUUUCCUCUUCAUGCCUUCCUUGGUUUGGACUAAUCUAAAUCAAGUGGGUACUUUUCUAUCCUUGGUCUACUAGAAAACCAUGCCCUGCAUUUACUUAGUAGAAUCUUACCAAAACAACAUUCAUUAAUCAAAUCAAAUCUUACCAAACCUCCACUAAAUAAAAACUUCACAUUCCCCUAUGUAUACCCAAAUCAAAUCAAAUUUUAACAAAACCUUACCUAAAUCAAAUCCUUCCUUGUCUACCUCUACCCAUAAAUCAAAACUAAUCUAACAAAAUCUAGGUUUCUGUGGGUGUAAGGUAUAUGUCGGACACGAUUAGUGUUGAACCAUUAAAACCAGUACAAUGCCCGUGCGUUGCCACGGGCAUUUGAAAUAUUUUCUUGGAGUUCUAUAUAUAAAUAUAAUGCAUGUUAAAUUUCAUAUGUAUCGUAAAAAUAGCAACAAUGGUAAUAAUUGAAAACUAAUUUUCUACGUGGGAAACUUUCAAUCUAUUCAUCUUUAAACAUGGUAGUAUGAAGAACAUCAGAGAUAAUAGAAAUUACAAACCACCUAGCGACGACUACAUACACUGGAGCGAGACGAAGGUGUGCCGCUGUCAUCAUCCCUCCCUCGCUGGAGCCGCGCAAACCUUAUUAUAGUUGACAGUCGAGAAGUCAUUGUGCUAAGGCCACAUAUCACAAGGGCACAAGAGCAACAAGCAUCGCCCGAUGAAGAAAGUCGUAGAUCGGAAGAAUCAAACUUGUAAACAUCCAAAUGAAGAUGAACACAGCGCCGCCGUCAUCGCCCCUCCCUCGCUUGAGCCGCUCAAACCUUAUUAUAGUCGACAGUCGAGAAGUCGUCGUGCUAAGGCCACAUAGCACAAGGGCACCAGAGCAACAACCAUCGCUCGAUGAAGAAAGUCAUAGAACGGAAGAAUCAAACCUAUAAACAUCCAAAUGAAGAUGAACACAGACCAGAUCCAAAAAGAUCCACCAAAGACCUGCACCGACCGAAUCCCGUGAGAUCCGAUGGAGACACACCUCCGUGCGCCCUCCGACGAUGCUAGACGCACCACCGGGAUAUGGAUAGAACAUGGGAGACAUUAUUCCUACCGAGGAACAUCGCCGCGGCACACAGUCCCAACCAAGACUAUGAACCUAACAAGAACGAGAAUGAGAUCCGUCCCGCCGGCGUGGGGCCGAGGUCCUUCGCAACUCCAUGGCCCAAAAGACCAUCGAAGACGGGGUGGAUCGGCGGCGGCGCCGACAGGAGGAAGAGGAAAGCUUGAGAUCUUUUCUGUGGAAGAGGAAAGAGAAGACAAAGUUUAUUUCUUGUUAUAACUGGCAGCAACACCGAUCAUAAUCACAAUAAUUUAAAUCUACUAAACUUACAAUGUAAGUUGAUAGAGAAAAGUAAUUUGACGAUGUAUACAUAGAGAGUGAAGAUCCAACUAAUAAUUUGUUAUGAAUUAAGAUCUACUUGACGUGUAUAAGAUAUUCUCGCGCAAUAUCAGGAAUGUUGUCUUUAGCUUCAUUUGCAUGAUAUUUGAGCAAGUAUAAUAGAACUUCCUUCUCAACUGAUAACCAUCCUGCACAGGCAAUAUAUGUAGUUAGCAUUAAUAUUUCACGUGGAAGAUCUAAAAAUGUGCAAUGAGAAUACUCACCUUGCAAACCGAACGAAGCAAUUCUUCAUCGUUCCAUGAGAGCAUGAAAUCAAAAACAAAAUAGCCAGGUACAUCCUUGUAAUUGAAUUAAUUAAUAAUAUCUAGACUCUUGUCUAAAGUUCAACGCUUCUCAAGUCUCAGUAACUAUUUUAUAUGAAAAAUACAGUAGAGUUUGAGGCAAACAAAAGUUAUAUAAAGAGGACCAAAAAUAACGGAUAGAUCUUUAACACCAGCUUGAAAUCCAACACCUGCUUUAGUUUAUGUUUCUGGUUACAACAGCAACAAGGUCACUCCGUUUGACCGAGCAUCAACUGAGGCCAAUAAUUGAAUCUCGUAUUUUUUGGCAUUGACGACCGAUACAUACCAAUGAGACAUGUAUGUUGCAACAGGGGCAUACAUAACCUGUAUGUUGCAACAAGAGCAUGCAUAUUUUAUUAUUUCAACACCAAUUGCAUCAGUCCUCCAAAAACACCAAUGUGAUCUAACAUACACCAUUUUCUUUAUCAUUAAGUCACUCACAUACACCAUUUCCUUUAUCAUUAAGUCACUAUUCUUAUUCCUCCACCACCUUCUAUCCAUCUAUCUCGGUCUCAAACUAUGAACCCUCUCUGCUUAUUUUCUACCUUGUGCAUCUUACUUGACCGUCCUCUCAGAUUUCUCGCUUCAAUUAAUUCAUUUCUCAAUUAUACACAUAAAACUAAUAUAUUUAGGUGCGGUGUUUUUUUUGGGAUCUGAAACCACCUAAGUGCCUGGAGAAAAAUGGGUCAUUCGAUUCUCGUGAGUUGUCUGUCAAUGAAAUCUGAACCAAAUAGUUGGACAUCUUUCUUCUAACAUCAAAUAUUUUUCCUUAGACGAAGAAUAACAACUUUGAAAGAACAUGCGAUGCCCCCAUGUUUGGUUUUGGUAAUUGAUGACAAUCUCUAUGGACUAAUGGUUGCCUUGAGUUAUAUUUGAAGGUUUUGUCCAUAGGCUUUUCUUGAAGUCCAUGUGUUGGUUUCAAGGAGUUUCUGAGUUGACCAAGGUGCUAUUAAGGAAUUAUCCAAAGAUUGGUCAUGUGAGUGUUGAGCUUAUUGCAAGCAUGUCUUGAAGAAGAAGAUUGUGUGAUCAUUCAUGUUUGCCUUCGAGACAUCAUCCAAAUGAAGAGAGUUGGAAAGAUUCGAGGUUGAUCAAGACUAAGUCAAGAGUGAAUCAAGUUGAUCAACUCACAAAGCGUAGAAGAUGUACCGAGAGGGAUCAAGUGAUCCCAUGGUAUGGUAAGCAUUGUCCAUUGCACUUUGUGUACUAACCCAUGGUCUAUGUGAGAGUUCUAUGUGGGUUUAGGUACGUGUCCAUGGGCUUGCGUCAAGAGGAAGAUAUCACACAACCCAUGGAAAGGAUGACAUCAAGUGGUGAUUGUCAUCAUGAUUGCCGUCUGCAAGUUCAAGUGGAGCAUCACGAAGAGAUCAAGUGCUUGAAUCUUGCCAUCCUUUGUGGUGUCAAUUAUCUUGUGAAGAUGUGCCGAAGAGAGGCUCACCCAUAGUGGUCUAUGGGGGAGCAAUCAUCUAGUCUUCAUCGAGCCAACACAAUCAAGAAAGGUGGUCCAACUUGAGGGAGUCAAGAUCGUCAUCAUCUAGCUCAAGUGGACCAUGUGCAAGGCAAAGGUUUGCCCUUGAUAGGUUUUCUAUUUUACCAGUCUUGUGGUGGUAGUUGGGAGACCGGGUUAUAGGAUCGUUUGUCGUACUAUCAAGGGGGGCUCUCAAGUUGGUAGCUUGAUCGUAUCGUUAGUAGAGAGCUCAAACCAUUGCAUCCUUGCAUCAUGUUUCUUGGUUCUUGUUUGGUUCUCUUUGUGGGUCUUAGAGCUUAUGGUCAUCUUGAUGACAAGCUUGAGUUCAUCGAAAACGGAGUUUGCAUGCGUCUUCUAUGAUGUAUUCGGUGUUGGAGGUUUCACCGGUGUUAUCCAAGGAAGGGUUCUCACCAUUUUCUUAUGGGCAUUUUCUAAUUUGCUUCUUAUUGAUAUUUCUAUCAAGAUUGUGUUAGCCCUUGUUGCUAGAUUUCCAACAAACUUGGUUUCAUCGAAUUCGGAGCUCGUAUGCGAAAGUUGUGGCUGUUUUGAUAUUGUCUGUUUUACAUAGAGAGGUUGCACCGCCCCGUAGAGAGGUUGUACCGGUUGACCAGUACAACCGGUGUUUGGAGCGGUUGUACCGCUCCAGAAUUGCUCCGGAGGUUGUUCCGGCCAUGUACCGCUCUACCACCGGACUAGUUUCUGUUUUGGAGCGGUUCUUGGGCGGUUGUUGACCGGUUUUACCGGUUUAACCGGUACUACCGGUUCCCCAGGCUGUUGUACCGCUUAGAGCUUUUCUCAGGUUGGUUUUUCCUGUGCUUUGGACGGUUGUACCGGUUCAUGCACCGGUUGUACCGGUUCUACAGUUUUCUGCACAUAACGGGCAGAUUCGUGGGGACCUAUUUAAGGGGGUCUUCUUCCCCAAUGGUUCCCCAUCUCUUGAGCUCGUUUUUGCCCCCAUUGUUGACCUUCUUUGAGCUUGCUAACUCUUAAUCCCUCCAUGGAUUCUUGCUAGUUUUUGAGGCAAAAGAGAGAGGAGAUCUAGAUCCACACUUCCACCAAUCACUUUCUCCUCUAUGUGAGGAGAACCCCUUGGAUCUAGAUCUUGGAGUUCUUUGUGUUCUCCUUCUUGUUCUUCCUCUUACUUUCCUCUCUAGCAUUAGUUGCUUUGGUGGGAUUUGAGAGAGAAGGACUUGGGUACUAUGUGUGCCCUUGCCAUUGCAUUUGUGCAUCGGUUUGAGUUCUCCACGGUGAUACGUGGAAGUUACAAGUUGAGAAGCUUAUUACUCUUGGGUGCUUGGUACCUUUGAGCUUGUUCCUCUUGGGUGCUUGGGCGCCCUAGACGGUUGGUGGUGUUCGGAGCUCAAUCUCAUUGUGGUGUAAAGCUCCGGGCAAGCGUCGGGGGUCUCCAAUUAGGUUGUGGAGAUCGCCCCGAGCAAUUUGACGGGUACCGGUGACCGCCCCCAAGGGUUGCCAAAGUGUACGGGUUCAGUGACCGCCCCAAGGGUCGCCAUUUGUACGGGUUCGGUGACCGCCCUCAAGGGUCCCUUAGUGGAAUCACGGCAUCUUGCAUUGUGCGAGGGCGUGAGGAGAAUACGGUGGCCCUAGUGGCUUCUUGGGGAGCAUUGUGCCUCCACACUGCUCCAAACGGAGAUUAGCAUCUGCAAGGGUGUGAACUUCGGGAUACAUCGCCGUCUCCGCGUGCCUCGGUUAUCUCUUACCCGAGCCCUUUACUUAUGCACUUUACUUUGUGAUAGCCAUUUUGUUCCUUGUCAUAUAUCUUGCUAUCACAUAGUUGCUUAUCUUGCUUAGCAUAAGUUGUUGGUGCACAUAGGUGAGCCUAGUUGUUGUAGGUUUUGUGCUUGAAAAAUUAACCGCUAGGUUUAUUCCGCAUUCGUUCAAGCCUCUACCGUAAUUAUUUUAAAACGCCUAUUCACCCCCCCUCUAGGCGACAUCCACGAUCUUUCAAUUGGUAUCAGAGCCUCGUCUCUCUUUGUUGGGCUUAACCGCCUAGAGAGUAAAGAUGUCGACUAGAGGAUUAGGAUUCUCUGAAACUCUUAGUUUCGAUGGCACAAAUUUUGAUGUUUGGGUAAUUCGCAUGCUUAAUCUCUUUAGGGUCAUGGACCCAAAUUUAGAGAGAAUUGUAGAUAUGGGUUUUUCUCCUCCAAAGGAUCCCCAAAGAUUAUCUUUAGAGGAUGAGAAAAACUCUUAUCUCAAUGCUCAAGCUUCUAAUGUGCUUUUCGAUGCUUUGAGCAAUGUAGUUAUUUUUUAACUCAUGCCGUUCCGGGAUGCUCAUGAGUUGUGGACAAAGCUUAGAGAUAAAUAUGGUGUGUCCAAUAUUUGUGGGGAUGAUUGUUCUCCCUCCACCUCCGGUCAUAUAGUCUUCUCAACUUCUUCUACUUCACCUACAUGUGGUUUGCCACAAGGUAAUGAUAUGGUGAGUAGUGGUGGUCAUUGCAAUGAUGAUAGUAUGCUUAUUGUGGAUGAUCCUUCAUCACUAUCUUAUUGCAAUGCUCCCUCUUUGGGCUUUAACACUUCGAGCACUCCAAAUGUUUCACAUGCUUGUGUUGAUAGUCCUUGCAUAUCAUGUAGAAAUUGCUUGACUAAAUCUCAUGAUGAUAUGCUUGCUAUGUCUUGUUGCCAUGAUAAAAAUGCAUCUAUUUCCUCGAAUUGUUGUGCUAACAAUAUAGAGGAAACCGAACACUCCAUGGAACAAGAUGUGGUGUUUAAUGGUGCCUCAAGGGAUCCUACAUCAUCAUAUAUUGCUUUUUUCCUUAUGGCUAAGGCGUCAAAGGUAUCUCCUACUUUGUACCCCAAUAUGUCUCUUGAUGAUGAUGUUGAUGCUAAUGAUGAUGAGGAUAGUGAUGAAGAGAAUGAUAAUGUUACCUCCUUAAAAACUAAGGGGGAAAUGAUUUUUAAAGCUCUUCAUAAAAAUAAAAUUGCUCGUUCCAACUUCAUGGAAAUAAUGUCCAUUGCCAUUGAUGGCAAGAAAUACAUUGAGGAGUUGGAAUCUCAUCUAGAGGAGCAUGAGGCCACCAUUGAGAAAAUGGAAGCUCAUGGGCGUGAUUACGCAAAUGAGAUCGCGGAGCUAUCUCAAGCUCUUGAACAUGAACAAACCACCUCCGAAUCUCUUGAGGAGACUUUUGCUCUAGAAUUAUAUAGAGUGAGGGAAUCUCAUGAUAGAUCUCUUGAGGUGGCCAAUGAUUUCAAAACUAAAAAUGCUAAGCUUGAAGUUUCUCAUGCUAGACUCCUUGAGGAUUUUGAGCACCUCGAAAAUGGCUCAAGGCUCAUCAAGGGUGAGCUCAUCAAACUCACCGAGUGUCAUGCCCAACUUGAAGCUUCUUAUUUAAAAGAGCUUGCCAAGUUGUCCUCUCCUAUUGUUGUAAAUAAUGAUGCUUGUGCUACUAACUCCAUUACUUGUGAAGCAUCCAUUUUGAAGGAGAAUGUUGAGCUACAGGCUCAACUUGAGGUGCUAUCUAGCAAUUAUGAGAAAUUGGAAGAAAGCCAUGAAAAGCUCUCAAGCUCUCAUGAUGAUCUUCUAGUAUCCCAUAAUGUGCUAAAGGUAGCUCAUGAGGCCAUGAUUGCUAAGGUAACAUCUAGUGAGCCUCAUGUGGAUACUAGCACUACUUCUAGUCAAAAUACUAUAUUGCCAUAUGCUAGUCCUUGUAAUUCAUCUACUCACAAUGUUGGUACAUCUUGUGAUCCAUUGCUUUCCUUGCCUUGUUGCUCUAACGAUGAAGCUUAUACUUCCUCUAGUACUUGUGUUGAGACUAACCAUGUAGAAGAAAUCAAAGAGCUCAAGGCCCAAGUCACUUCUUUGAAGAAAGACUUGGAAAAGAGUCAUCAAGGGAAAUCCACACUCAACAAUAUCUUGAGUGUGCAAAAAUCCCCCAAUGACAAAGGUGGACUUGGAUUCAACUCCAAUAAGAAGAAGAAGUCCAAGAUGAACAAAAGGAAGGGCCAAGAACAAGUCAAGAAUUUGGCCAAGAUUGUUUGCUUCAAGUGCAAAGUAGAAGGGCAUCAUGUUAGAUCUUGCCCAUUGCAGAAGAAGGCCAUUAGUGUCAAGCAACAAGGGAAGAGGGAACAAGUUCAAUCUCAUGCUCAACCUCAAGUUGAAUAAAGGCCUCUUCCCAAGAAGACUCAAGUUAAUGCUUCUCUUGUUGAGAAAUCAAGUGAGAAGAAAGUGAAGAGUAGACGUUGGUACUUAUGUCGUGAGAAAGGCCACGUCGUUUCUUCAUGCACUAGUGGUAACUUAUCCAACCCAAUUAGUAUUGAUGAUAUCUAUUCUCUUGGGAAGGAUAAAGUUGGCAAUGUGUUUGCCAAGUUUGAUGGUACUCAAAGUGGUGUCAAGAAAAGAACCAUUUGGGUAGCCAAGCCUAUUGUGACUAACCUCUUAGGACCCAACUUGGUUGGGGACCAACUAUCUCAAACUUGAUCAAUAGGUGUUGUUGGAGGGCAUUGGAGACUUGGCUACAUUAUGAAGAAUUAAGGGGACUUCAUCACUCUUAUUGUCUCAAGCCAAGUCAAUUGAAUCGUCAAGUUUAUAUCUUAUAUCCAAUGUGCCUCCUUGUGGUAACUUGUACUUAAAAUUGCUUACAUUGAAAGUUACUUUCCCCCUUGCAUGUUUUGGUUUUGUUCCUUGCAUGUGUUUGUAUAUGAUGUGUCUCCAAAUUGCCUUUGUGUAUGUUGGUUUGCACAUCAUGUACUUGGGUGUCGUUCGUUGAGCCUUAGUGCAUCUUGGUUGAAUCUUAGUUGGCUCUUGUGAGAGAUUAAUGGAAUAUCCCAUUAUGGGGGAGUGACGUGCUUUGUGCACUUCGCAACCCUAUAAUUGUGUGUACAUGAGGAAUACCAUCUAGUAUUGAUAUUACCAAAUUAUCUAGUCGCUAUGUGGUAUAUCUCUCAUGAGAAAUUCAAAUUUUAAAAAAUUCCAUUGAUUAUCUCGUGUUGGAUCCUCUGAUUGCCUCUUGUUAAGUUCUUAUUGGUAUCACAUUAUGGGGGAGUAAUAUGCUAUGUGCAUAUUACAAGUCUAGAAAAUGUGUACAUUUGAGAUAUUGUCUCCUAGAAUUGAUAUUGUAAAUUAUAUUGUUCCUAGGUGACAUGUUAGCUCUACGAGUGGCAAUUUGCUUGUGUUUGUUGUGAAGAUGAUGUUGGAUAUCCUUGUUAUCUACCACUGGGAAUUAUUUCCAAAUACUUUUUGUCUUUUGACAAUUGGUAGUCACUUAUGUGUGGUAGAAUUUAUUGAUCAUCUUUACAUUGGCUUUUGUUUUUAUUUGCCUUUUCUCUUGCCAAGGUGUGUAUCAACUCCCAUUGUCUUCCAUACCACUUGUGGAUAUUGUUAAUUUCUUGGUCUUGUCUAGUGUUUUCUAGAUAUAGUGAGAGUGGUGAUCCCGUCUUGUGCAUUUUGUAUUCAAAAGCUAAUUCUCUAUAGUGCACAACUCGUGGGGGAGCUAUCCUAUUUUCUUUAGAACACUCUUCUUGUGAUCCUUAUCAAGUGUGUGUUGGUGGAAGGCAAGCCGUUUUCUUUUGGUACCUUGUGCCAUCAUGAAACUUUGUUGAGAGCUUGGUUUGUUUGGAACCAUCCUCUCCUUAGGAGUUUGACAUCUUUAAUUUAGUGUGUAUCAAUGGAUAUCUCAUUCCUUGAUGUAUCUUUAAUGAUAUCUUCCAAGUGAUGAUUUCUCCAUUUGGUAUCCUUUUCACUUGGCAUUUCUUUGUCUUUUGGUUUCGGGUUUUGAAAGUCUUGAGCAUGCAUGUUUACUUCAUGUAUUUUAUUUGGCUUGCUUUCUUUCUUUAACCCAAUAUAUAGGGGGAACUCCACCAAGUCUCAAAUUGGAUGAGAUCUGCAUGAAAUUCAUUUUCAUAUCUAUAUGCACAUAUUUAUGUGGAGUUUGUCCUAUAUGUUGUUGGUUCUCUAACUCCUUGCUCCCAAUGAGUUUGGGUACCAUUUUGUUGUUGGGGAACGUUGCAGAAAAUAAAAAAUUUCCUACGGUUUCACCAAGAUCCAUCUAUGAGUUCAUCUAAGCAACGAGUGAAAGGAGAGAUGCAUCUACAUACCACUUUGUAGAUCGCGAGCGGAAGCGUUCAAAAGAACGGGGUUGAAGUAGUCGUUCCCGUCGUGAUCCUAUCACCGAAGAUCCUAGCGCCGAACGGACGGCACCUCCGCGUUCAACACACGUACAGUCAGCGUGACGUAUCCUCCGUCUUGAUCCAGCAAGGGGGAAGGAGAGGUUGAUGAAGAUCCAGCAGCACGACGGCGUGGUGGUGGAUGCAGCAGAACUCCGGCAGGGCUUCGCCAAGCUGCUGCGGGAGGAGGACGAGGUGUAGCAGGGGAGGGAGGCGCCAAGACACAGGGUGCGGCUGACCUCCCCCUUCCCUCCUUUAUAUAGGCCCCCAGGGGGGGUGCCGGCCCUGGGAGAUGCAAUCUCCCAAGGGGGCGGCGGCCAGGGGGGUGGAGUGCCCCCCAAGGCAAGUGGUGCGCCCCCCCCCACCUAGGGUUUCCAACCCUAGGCGCAGGGGGGCCCAAGUGGGGGGCACACCAGCCCACUAGGGGCUGGUUCCCCUCCCACUUCAGCCCACGGGGCCCUCCGGGAUAGGUGGCCCCACCCGGUGGACCCCCGGGACCCUUCCAGUGGUCCCGGUACAAUACCGGGUGACCCCGAAAUUUCCCGAUGGCCGAAACAUCACUUCCUAUAUAUAAUUCUUUACCUCCGGACCAUUCCGAAACUCCUCGUGACGUCCGGGAUCUCAUCCAGGACUCCGAACAACAUUCGGUUUGCUGCAUACUCAUAUUCAUACAACCCUAGCGUCACCGAACCUUAAGUGUGUAGACCCUACGGGUUCGGGAGACAUGUAGACAUGACCGAGAUGGCUCUCCGGUCAGUAACCAACAGCGGGAUCUGGAUACCCAUGUUGGCUCCCACAUACUCCUUGAUGAUCUCAUCGGAUGAACCACGAUGUCGAGGAUUCAAGCAAUCCCGUAUACUAUUCCCUUUGUCAGACGAUAUGUUACUUGCCCGAUACUCGAUCGUCGGUAUCCCAAUACCUCAUUCAGUCUCGUUACCGGUAAGUCACUUUACUUGUACUGUAAUGCAUGAUCCCGUGACCAGACACUUGGUCACUUUGAGCUCAUUGUGAUGAUGCACUACCGAGUGGGCCCAGUGAUACCUCUCCGUAAUACGGAGUGACAAAUCCCAGUCUCGAUUCGUGUCAACCCAACAGACACUUUCGGAGAUACCUGUAGUGCACCUUUAUAGUCACCCAGUUACGUUGUGACAUUUGGUACACCCAAAGCACUCCUACGGUAUCCGGGAGUUACACGAUCUCAUGGUCUAAGGAAAAGAUACUUGACAUUGGAAAAGCUCUAGCAAAACGAACUACACGAUCUUGUGCUAUGCUUAGGAUUGGGUCUUGUCCAUCACAUCAUUCUCCUAAUGAUGUGAUCCCGUUAUCAACGACAUCUAAUGUCCAUAGUCAGGAAACCAUGACUAUCUGGUGAUCAACGAGCUAGUCAACUAGAGGCUUACUAGGGACAUAUUAUGGUCUGUGUAUUCACACGUGUAUUACGAUUUCCGGAUAAUACAAUUAUAACAUGAAUAAAGACAAUUAUCAUGAACAAGGAAAUAUAAUAAUAAUCCUUUUAUUAUUGCCUCUAGGGCAUAUUUCCAACAGUCUCCCACUUGCACUAGAGUCAAUAAUCUAGUUACAUUGUGAUGAAUCGAACACCCAUAGAGUUCUGGUGUUGAUCAUGUUUUGCUCGCGAGAGAGGUUUAGUCAACGGAUCUGCGACAUUCAGAUCCGUAUGUACUUUGCAAAUAUCUAUGUCUCCAUCUUGAACAUUUUCAUGGAUGGAGUUGAAGCGACGCUUGAUGUGCCUGGUCUUCUUGUGAAACCUGGGCUCCUUGGCAAGGGCAAUAGCUCCAGUGUUGUCAUAGAAGAGUUUGAUCGGCCCCGACACAUUGGGUAUGACUCCUAGGUCGGUGAUGAACUCCUUCACCCAAAUUGCUUCAUGUGCUGCCUCCGAGGCUGCCAUGUACUCCGCUUCACAUGUAGAUCCCGCCACGACGCUCUGCUUGCAGCUGCACCAGCUUACUGCUCCACCAUUCAACAUAUACACGUAUCCGGUUUGUGACUUAGAGUCAUCCAGAUCCGUGUCGAAGCUAGCGUUGACGUAACCCUUUACGGCGAGCUCUUCUUCACCUCCAUAAACGAGAAACAUGUCCUUUGUCCUUUUCAGGUACUUUAGGAUAUUCUUGACGGCUGUCCAGUGUUCCUUGCCGGGAUUACUUUGGUACCUUCCUACCAAACUUACGGCAAGGUUUACAUCAGGUCUGGUACACAGCAUGGCAUACAUAAUGGAUCCUAUGGCUGAAGCAUAGGGGAUGACACUCAUCUCUUCUUUAUCUUUUGCCGUGGUUGGGCAUUGAGCCGAGCUCAAUCUCACACCUUGCAGUACAGGCAAGAACCCUUUCUUGGACUGAUCCAUUUUGCACUUCUUCAAAAUCUUAUCAAGGUAUGUGCUUUGUGAAAGACCUAUGAGGCGUCUCGAUCUAUCCCUAUAGAUCUUGAUGCCUAAUAUGUAAGCAGCUUCUCCAAGGUACUUCAUUGAAAAACACUUAUUCAAGUAGGCCUUAAUGCUGUCCAAAAGUUCUAUAUCAUUUCCCAUCAAAAGUAUGUCAUCUACAUAUAAUAUGAGAAAUGCUACAGAGCUCCCACUCACUUUCUUGUAAACGCAGGCUUCUCCAUAAGUAUGCAUAAAUCCAAACGCUUUGAUCAUCUCAUCAAAGCGAAUAUUCCAACUCCGAGAUGCUUGCACCAGCCCAUAAAUGGAUCGCUGGAGCUUGCAUACUUUGUUAGCAUUCUCAGGAUCGACAAAACCCUCCGGCUGCAUCAUAUACAGUUCUUCCUUAAGAUGCCCGUUAAGGAAUGCCGUUUUGACGUCCAUCUGCCAUAUCUCAUAAUCAUAGUAUGCGGCAAUUGCUAACAUGAUUCGGACAGACUUCAGCUUCGCUACGGGAGAGAAUGUCUCAUCGUAGUCAUCCCCUUGAACUUGUCGAUAACCCUUAGCGACAAGUCGAGCUUUAUAGACGGUAAUAUUACCAUCCGCGUCCGUCUUCUUCUUAAAGAUCCAUUUGUUUUCUAUCGAUCGCCGAUCAUCGGGCAAGUCAGUCAAAGUCCAUACUUUGUUUUCAUACAUGGAUUCUAUCUCGGAUUGCAUGGCUUCAAGCCAUUUGUUGGAAUCUGGGCCUGCCAUCGCUUCUUCAUAGUUCGAAGGUUCACCGUUGUCUAACAACAUGAUUUCCAGGACAGGGUUGCCAUACCACUCUGGUGUGGAACGUGUCCUUGUGGACCUACGAGGUUCCGUAGCAACUUGAUCCGAAGUACCUUGAUCAUCAUCAUUAAUUUCCUCUCCAGUUGGUGUAGGCACCACAGGAACAUUUUCCUGAGCUGUACUACUUUCCGGUUCAAGAGGUAGUACUUCAUAGAGUUCUACUUUCCUCCCACUUACUUUUUUCGAGAGAAACUCUUUUUCCAGAAAGGAUCCGUUCUUGGCAACGAAGGUCUUGCCCUCGGAUCUUAAGUAGAAGGUAUACCCAAUGGUUUCCUUAGGGUAUCCUAUGAAGACGCAUUUUUCCGACUUGGGUUCGAGCUUUUCAGGUUGUAAUUUCUUGACAUAAGCAUCGCAUCCCCAAACUUUUAGAAAUGACAGCUUAGGUUUCCUUCCAAACCAUAAUUCAUAUGGUGUCGUCUCAACGGAUUUAGACGGUGCCCUAUUUAAAGUGAAUGUAGCUGUCUCUAGAGCGUAUCCCCAAAAUGAUAGCGGUAAAUCGGUAAGAGACAUCAUAGACCGCACCAUAUCCAAUAGAGUGCGAUUACGGCGUUCGGACACACCAUUACGCUGAGGUGUUCCAGGCGGCGUGAGUUGUGAAACGAUUCCACAUUUCCUUAAGUGUGUACCAAAUUCAUGACUUAAGUAUUCUCCUCCAUGAUCUGAUCGUAGGAACUUUAUCUUUCGGUCACGUUGAUUCUCUACCUCAUUCUGAAAUUCCUUGAACUUUUCAAAGGUCUCAGACUUGUGUUUCAUCAAGUAGACAUACCCAUAUCUACUCAAGUCAUCAGUGAGAGUGAGAAUAUAACGAUAUCCUCCGCGAGCCUCAACGCUCAUUGGACCGCACACAUCGGUAUGUAUGAUUUCCAAUAAGUUGGUUGCUCGCUCCAUUGUUCCGGAGAACAGAGUCUUGGUCAUUUUGCCCAUGAGGCAUGGUUCGCAUGUGUCAAAUGAUUCAUAAUCGAGAGACUCCAAAAGUCCAUCAGCAUGGAGCUUCUUCAUGCGCUUGACACCAAUGUGACCAAGGCGGCAGUGCCACAAGUAUGUGGGACUAUCAUUAUCAACUUUACAUCUUUUGUUAUUCACGCUAUGAAUAUGUGUAACAUUACGUUCGAGAUUCAUUAAGAAUAAACCAUUGACCAUCGGGGCAUAACCAUAAAACAUAUCUCUCAUAUAAAUAGAACAACCAUUAUUCUCGGAUUUAAAUGAGUAGCCAUCUCGUAUUAAACGAGAUCCAGAUACAAUGUUCAUGCUCAAACUUGGCACUAAAUAACAAUUAUUGAGGUUCAUAACUAAUCCCGUGGGUAAAUGUAGAGGUAGCGUGCCGACGGCGAUCACAUCGACCUUGAAACCAUUCCCGACGCGCAUCGUCACCUCGUCCUUCGCUUAUUCCGCAGCUCCUGCUGUGAGUUAUAAAUAUGAGCAACGGCACCGGUAUCAAAUACCCAGGAGUUACUACGAGUACUGGUAAGGUACACAUCAAUUACAUGUAUAUUAAAUAUACAUUUAGUGUUGCCGGCCUUCUUAUCCGCUAAGUAUUUGGGGCAGUUCCGCUUCCAGUGACCCUUCCCCUUGCAAUAAAAGCACUCAGUCUCAGGCUUGGGUCCAUUCUUUGACUUCUUCCCGGCAACUGGCUUACCGGGCGCGGCAACAUCUUUGCCGUCCUUCUUGAAGUUCUUCUUACCCUUGCCCUUCUUGAACUUAGUGGUCUUAUUGACCAUCAACACUUGAUGUUCUUUCUUGAUUUCAACCUCUGCUGACUUCAGCAUUGAAAAUACUUCAGGAAUGGUCUUCACCAUCCCCUGCAUAUUGUAGUUCAACACAAAGCUCUUGUAGCUCGGUGGGAGCGACUGAAGGAUUCUGUCAAUGACCGCCUCGUCCGGGAGGUUGAUCUCCAGCUGGGACAGGCGGUUGUGCAACCCAGACAUUUUGAGUAUGUGCUCACUGACAGAACUGUUUUCCUCCAUCUUACAACUAUAGAACUUGUCGGAGACUUCAUAUCUCUCGACCCGGGCAUGAGCCUGAAAAACCAUUUUCAGCUCCUCGAACAUCUCAUAUGCUCCGUGUUUCUCAAAACGCUUCUGGAGCCCCGGUUCUAAGCUGUAAAGCAUGCCGCACUGAACGAGGGAGUAAUCAUCAGCAUGUGACUGCCAAACAUUCAUAACAUCUUGGUUCUCUGGGAUGGGUGCUUCACCUAGCGGUUCAUCUAGGACAUAUGCUUUCUUGGCUGCUAUGAGGAUGAUCCUCAGGUUCCGGACCCAGUCCGAAUAGUUGCUGCCAUCAUCUUUCAGCUUGGUUUUCUCUAGGAACGCGUUGAAGUUCAUGUUGACAUGACCGUUGGCCAUUUGAUCUACAAGACAUAUUUUGCAAAAGUUUUUAGACUAAGUUCAUGAUAAUUAAGUUCAUUUAAUCAAAUUAUUGAAUGAACUCCCACUCAGAUUUGACAUCCCUCUAGUCAUCUAAGUGUUACACGAUCCGAGUCGACUAGGCCGUGUCCGAUCAUCACGUGAGACGGACUAGUCAUCAUCGGUGAACAUCUCCAGGUUGAUCGUAUCUUCCAUACGUCUCAUGUUCAACCUUUCGGUCUCUUGUGUUCCGAGGCCAUGUCUGUACAUGCUAGGCUCGUCAAGUUAACCCUAAGUGUUCUGCAUGUGUAAAUCUAUCUUACACCCGUUGUAUGUGAACGAAAGGAUCUAUCACACCCGAUCAUCACGUGGUGCUUCGAAACGACGAACUUUAGCAACGGUGCACAGUUAGGGGGAACACUUUCUUGAAAUUAUUAUAAGGGAUCAUCUUAUUUACUACCGCCGUUCUAAGUAAACAAGAUGCAUAAAACAUAAUAAACAUCACAUGCAAUUAUAUAAAGUAGUGACAUGAUAUGGCCAAUAUCAUAUAGCUCCUUCGAUCUCCAUCUUCGGGGCUCCAUGAUCAUCUUUGUCACCGGCAUGACACCAUGAUCUCCAUCAUCAUGAUCUCCAUCAUUGUGUCUUCAUGAAGUUGUCAUGCCAACGACUACUUCUACUUCUAUGGCUAACGCGUUUAGCAAUAAAGUAAAGUAAUUUACAUGGCAUUCUUCAAUGACACGCAGGUCAUACAAAAAAUAAAGACAACUCCUAUGGCUCCUGCCGGUUGUCAUACUCAUCGACAUGCAAGUCGUGAUUCCUAUUACAAGAACAUGAUCUCAUACAUCACAAUAUAUCAUUCAUCAUUCAUCACAACUUCUGGCCAUAUCACAUCACAUGACAAUUGCUGCAAAAACAAGUUAGACAUCCUCUAAUUGUUGUUGCAUCUUUUACGUGGCUGCAAUUGGGUUCUAGCAAGAACGUUUUCUUACCUACGAAUAACCACAAUGUGAUUUUGUCAACUUCUAUUUACCCUUCAUAAGGACCCUUUUCGUCGAAUCCGCUCCAACUAAAGUGGGUGAGACAGACACCCGCUAGCCACCUUAUGCAACUAGUGCAUGUCAGUCGGUGGAACCUGUCUCACAUAAGCGUACGUGUAAGGUCGGUCCGGGCCGCUUCAUCCCACAAUACCGCUGAAGCAAGAAAAGACUAGUAGCGGCAAGCAAGUUGACAAGAUCUACGCCCACAACAAAUUUGUGUUCUACUCGUGCAAUAGAGAACUACGCAUAGACCUAGCUCAUGAUGCCACUGUUGGGGAACCUUGCAGAAAAUAAAAAUUUUCCUACGGUUUCACCAAGAUCCAUCUAUGAGUUCAUCUAAGCAACGAGUGAAAGGAGAGAUGCAUCUACAUACCACUUUGUAGAUCGCGAGCGGAAGCGUUCAAAAGAACAGGGUUGAAGUAGUCGUUCUCGUCGUGAUCCUAUCACUGGAGAUCCUAGCGCCGAACGGACGGCACCUCCGCGUUCAACACAUGUACGGUCAGCGUGACGUAUCCUUCGUCUUGAUCCAGCAAGGGGGAAGGAGAGGUUGAUGAAGAUCCAGCAGCACGACGGCGUGGUGGUGGAUGUAGCAGAACUCCGGCAGGGCUUCGCCAAGCUGCUGCGGGAUGAGGACGAGGUGUAGCAGGGGAGGGAGGCGCCAAGACACAGGGUGCGGCUGCCCUCCCCCUGCCCUCCUUUAUAUAGGCCCCCAGGGGGCGCCGGCCCUGGGAGAUGCAAUCUCCCAAGGGGGCGGCGGCCAGGGGGGGGGGGGGGUGGAGUGCCCCCCAAGGCAAGUGGUGCGCCCCCCCACCUAGGGUUUCCAACCCUAGGCGCAGGGGGCCCAAGUGGGGGGUGCAAUAGCCCACUAGGGGCUGGUUCCCCUCCCACUUCAGCCCACGGGGCCCUCCGGGAUAGGUGGCCCCACCCGGUGGACCCCCGGGACCAUUCCGGUGGUCCCGGUACAAUACCGGGUGACCCCGAAACUUUCCCGAUGGCCAAAACAGCACUUCCUAUAUAUAAUUCUUUACCUCUGGACCAUUCUGAAACUCCUCGUGACGUCCAGGAUCUCAUUCGGGACUCCGAACAACAUUCAGUUUGCUGCAUACUCAUAUUCAUACAACCCUUGCGUCACCGAACCUUAAGUGUGUAGACCCUACGGGUUCGGGAGACAUGUAGACAUGACCGAGACGGCUCUCCGGUCAAUAACCAACAGCGGGAUCUGGAUACCCAUGUUGGCUCUCACAUACUCCUCGAUGAUCUCAUCGGAUGAACCACGAUGUCGAGGAUUCAAGCAAUCCCGUAUACUAUUCCCUUUGUCAGACGGUAUGUUACUUGCCCGAGACUCGAUCGUCGGUAUCCCAAUACCUCGUUCAGUCUCUUUACCGGCAAGUCACUUUACUCGUACCGUAAUGCAUGAUCCCGUGACCAGACACUUGGUCACUUUGAGCUCAUUAUGAUGAUGCACUAUCGAGUGGGCCCAGUGAUACCUCUCCGUAAUACGGAGUGACAAAUCCCAGUCUCGAUCCGUGUCAACCCAACAGACACUUUCGGAGAUACCUGUAGUGCACCAUUAUAGUCACCCAGUUACGUUGUGACGUUUGGUACACCCAAAUCACUCCUACGGUAUCCGGGAGUUACACGAUCUCAUGGUCUAAGGAAAAGAUACUUGACAUUGGAAAAGCUCUAGCAAAACGAACUACACGAUCUUGUGCUAUGCUUAGGAUUGGGUCUUGUCCAUCACAUCAUUCUCCUAAUGAUGUGAUCCCAUUAUCAACGACAUCUAAUGUCCAUAGUCAGGAAACCAUGACUAUCUGUUGAUCAACGAGCUAGUCAACUAGAGGCUUACUAGGGACAUAUUAUGGUCUGUGUAUUCACACGUGUAUUACGAUUUCCGGAUAAUACAGUUAUAGCAUGAAUAAAGACAAUUAUCAUGAACAAGGAAAUAUAAUAAUAAUCCUUUUAUUAUUGCCUCUAGGGCAUAUUUCCAACAUUUGUUUGUGUUGUUGUUCUAGGAACAAGUGGAAAUGCAUUGGAUGCUCAGAUCACUCACAAGGAAGGUGUUGUCACCAUGUGCUUAUUGGAGUCAAGCUAGGGUGAUCAAUGAACUACUUUGUACCUUCAAUUCGUAUAUAGUACAUCCUUCCAAUGUUAUCUCGGUAACAAGUAUCUUCAUAUACUUCAUGCACACAUUUAUUGCAUCAACCUUGUGUAGGUUGUAUCAUGGCAUGUUAUUCAUUCUUUCUUGUGUUACUUGUUUCCUUUCUCAAAGCAUCCCAACAAUGAUCUCUUGUUGCUAGUUGUGAUGUCUUUGAUGUUCGUGUGGUUGGAAUUCAUUUAUAUACAAUAAGACCAUAUCUAGCCAUGUGCUAUGCUCUCAAGCAAAUUUCUUAUUGGUAUAUUUAUGACUUCCUUGUGGAUAUCUUGUUCUUUCCUUUUUGUAACUAUUUCAUGUGUAUAUCCUUAUUUGUGGAUUGAUAUCAUCAUGAUUUUCAUCUACCUAGAAUCUUAUACACUUGAGAAGAGGUACAUCUCUAGUUGAUAUCCCUUUCUUUCACAUCCAUCGUUUCUUUCUCAUGUUAUUUCUUUGGUGGCUCCAUGAAAGUGUGUGCCUUGAGUGCGGGUCUUAUCUCGUUGCAUCUUGUUGCACUCUUGUGAAGAUCAUUUUCUUCAUGCUUGUCUUGAUGAGGUUUUUUAAUUGGUAUCCCUCGUCUUGAUGAGGCUUUCACUUUCUAUCUUCACAAUGGGUUGUCACAAGUGUUGAUUAUUCUUUUUGCAUAUUUAGUGUGCUUGUGAUCACUUUUUCCUGGUGUGUGUGGGAAGGACAUGUCAUGCACCUUGUAUCUCCACUUUUCAAUACUAUGUUGAUGCUUAAUGCUCACCCUUACAUUAGUCUUCUCAAGUGCUUUGCCAUGACUCACACACAUCAUUUUGGUUGAGCCUACUCUUAAGUUGCCUCUUUUAUAUGUUGCUCAACCAUUUGUUUGUUGCAAGACUUUGUUUCCUACAUGCUCACUUGCACUUGUUGUGAGUUUCUAUUGAUUUUCGAGGAGUGAUGAUCCUAUUUUGUGCACUUGGUAUCCUAAUGCAAAUAUUCUAAGGAGUGCACAGAUCAUGGGGAGCUUCACUAGUGUCUUUAGAACACUCUGUUGCUCUCUUGCACUUGUCGUGAGGUUCUAUUGAUCUUGGGGGAGCUAUGAUCCUAUUUUGUGCACUUUGUAUCCAAAUACAAAAAUUCUUAAUGUGCACAAAUCAUGGGGAGCUUCUCUAGUUUCUUUAGAACACUGCUCCGCUCUUAUCAUAAUAUCCUUUAUUCAUGUGGCUCGUAGGAUCAUUGGCCUAGUUGGUUCAAUUGGUAUCUUUUGAUAGCUUGCUUCAAUUGGUAUCUUUUGGUUGCUUGAUUGCUUGUUUCUCUCUUUGAUUAUGUCUUUGUGGCAUAUCUUCCUUUUGCAAUCUUUCGGCCUAAAUAUAGUUUUUCUUCCUCCAAGUAUUUACCGUUGGAUAUGUGUAUUACACAAUUUAUGGAGGAACACAUUUUAUAUUGGCCUUCUAAGCUUUUAGCCCAUUUUGGCAAUCGAUGCCAAUGGGGGAGAAGUUUCAGAGAGUUUUGUGGAGAAGUUUAGAGAGGUCUAGAGAGUUGUCUCCUCUUGCUUUGGUUUUGUUCCUUAGCAUUUGCAUCUCAUUCACAUGCACUAUUGGUUGUUGCAUUGCAUGGUGAUGCAUAAUUCCUUAUAUAAACUCUCUUGAAAGUGAUUGUCAUCAAUUACCAAAAUGGGGGAGAUUGAAAGAACAUGCGAUGCCCCCAUGUUUGGUUUUGGUAAUUGAUGACAAUCUCUAUGGACUAAAGGUUGCCUUGAGUUAUAUUUGAAGGUUUUGUCCAUAGGUUUUUCUUGAAGUCCAUGUGUUGGUUUCAAGGAGUUUAUGAGUUGACCAAGGUGCUAUUAAGGAAUUAUCCAAAGAUUGGUCAUGUGAGUGUUGAGCUUAUUGCAAGCAUGUCUUGAAGAAGAAGAUUGUGUGAUCAUUCAUGUUUGCCUUCAAGACAUCAUCCAAAUGAAGAGAGUUGGAAAGAUUCAAGGUUGAUCAAGACUAAGUCAAGAGUGAAUCAAGUUGAUCAACUCACAAAGCGUAGAAGAUGUACCGAGAGGGAUCAAGUGAUCCCAUGGUAUGGUAAGCAUUGUCCAUUGCACUUUGUGUACUAACCCAUGGUCUAUGUGAGAGUUCUAUGUGGGGUUAGGUACGUGUCCAUGGGCUUGCGUCAAGAGGAAGAUAUCAUACAACCCAUGGAAAGGAUGACAUCAAGUGGUGAUCGUCAUCAUGAUUGCCGUGUGCAAGUGCAAGUGGAGCAUCACGAAGAGAUCAAGUGCUUGAAUCUUGCCAUCCUUUGUGGUGUCAAUGGUGUUGUGAAGAUGUGCCGAAGAGAGGCUCACCCAUAGUGGUCUAUGGGGGAGCAAUCAUCUAGUCUUCAUCGAGCCAACACAAUCAAGAAAUGUGGUCCAACUUGAGGGAGUCAAGAUCGUCAUCAUCUAGCUCAAGUGGACCAUGUGCAAGGCAAAGGUUUGCCCUUGAUAGGUUUUCUAUUUUACCGGUCUCGUGGUGGUAGUUGGGAGACCGGGUUAUAGGAUCGUUUGCCGUACUAUCAAGGGGGGCUCUUAAGUUGGUAGCUUGAUUGUAUCGUUAGUAGAGAGCUCAAACCAUUGCAUCCUUGCAUCAUGUUUCUUGGUUCUUGUUUGGUUCUCUUUGUGGGUCUUAGAGCUUAUGGUCAUCUUGAUGACAAGCUUGAGUUCAUCGAAAACGGAGUUCGCAUGCGUCUUCUAUGAUGUUUUCGGUGUUGGAGGUUUCACCGGUGUUAUCCAAGGAAGGGUUCUCACCAUUUUCUUAUGGGAAUUUUCUAAUUUUCUUCUUAUUGAUAUUUCUAUCAAGAUUGUGUUAGCCCUUGUUGCUAGCUUUCCAACAAACUUGGUUUCAUCGAAUUCGGAGCUCGUAUGCGAAAGUUGUGGCUGUUUUGAUAUUGCCUGUUUUACAUAGAGAGGUUGUACCGCCCUGUAGAGAGGUUGUACCGGUUGACCGGUACAACCGGUGUUUGGAGCGGUUGUACCGCUCCAGAAUUGCUCCGGAGGUUGUUCCGGCCAUGUACCACUCUACCACCGGACUAGUUUCUGUUUUGGAGCGGUUCUUGGGUGGUUGUUGACCGGUUUUACCGGUUUAACCGGUACUACCGGUUCCCCAGGCUGUUGUACCGCUUAGAGCUUUUCCCAGGUUGGUUUUUCCUGUGCUUUGGCCGAUUGUACCGGUUCGUGCACCGGUUGUACCGGUCCUACAGUUUUCUGCACAUAACGGGCAGAUUCAUGGGGACCUAUUUAAGGGGGUCUUCUUCCCCAAUGGUUCCCCAUCUCUUGAGCUCGUUUUUGCCCCCAUUGUUGACCUUCUUUGAGCUUGCUAACUCUUAAUCCCUCCAUGGAUUCUUGCUAGUUUUUGAGGGAAAAGAGAGAGGAGAUCUAGAUCCACACUUCCACCAAUCACUUUCUCCUCUAUGUGAGGGGAACCCUUGGAUCUAGAUCUUGGAGUUCUUUGUGUUCCCCUUCUUGUUCUUCCUCUUACUUUCCUCCCUAGCAUUAGUUGCUUUGGUGGGAUUUGAGAGAGAAGGACUUGGGUACUCUGUGUGCCCUUGCCAUUGCAUUUGUGCAUCGGUUUGAGUUCUCCAUGGUGAUACGUGGAAGUUACAAGUUGAGAAGCUUAUUACUCUUGGGUGCUUGGUACCUUUGAGCUUGUUCCUAUUGGGUGCUUGGGCGCCCUAGACGGUUGGUGGUGUUCGGAGCUCAAUCAUUAUGGUGUAAAGCUCCGGGCAAGCGUCGGGGUCUCCAAUUAGGUUGUGGAGAUCGCCCCGAGCAAUUUGACGGGUACCGGUGACCGCCCCCAAGGGUUGCCAAAGUGUACGGGUUCGGUGACCGCCCCCAAGGGUCGCCAUUUGUACGGGUUCGGUGACCGCCCUCAAGGGUCCCUUAGUGGAAUCACGGCAUCUUGCAUUGUGCGAGGGUGUGAGGAGAUUACGGUGGCCCUAGUGGCUUCUUGGGGAGCAUUGUGCCUCCACACUGCUCCAAAUGGAGAUUAGCAUCGCAAGGGUGUGAACUUCGGGAUACAUCUCGUCUCCGCGUGCCUCGGUUAUCUCUUACCCGAGCCCUUUACUUAUGCACUUUACUUUGUGAUAGCCAUUUUGUUCCUUGUCAUAUAUCUUGCUAUCACAUAGUUGCUUAUCUUGAUUAGCAUAAGUUGUUGGUGCACAUAGGUGAGCCUAGUUGUCGUAGGUUUUGUGCUUGACAAAUUAACCGCUAGGUUUAUUCCGCAUUCGUUCAAGCCUCUACCGUAAUUAUUUUAAAACGCCUAUUCACCCCCCCUCUAGGCGACAUCCACGAUCUUUCAAACUUCCUUCCCCAACAUGAUUUGCCCAUUCCUCCACCCACCCCAUGUGUCACCAGCCCAACUGGAUGCUCUUGUUCCCUACGAUCGGUGGUGCUGCCUCACCAACAUGCCAUCUCCGUCUCCUCCGUCGUGCUACCACCGCCGGUGACCAUCCCCUCUACACCUCCUUAGGCAUCAAAUUUUCUAAGGAAAACACACUCACCCCACCAGAAACAUCAAGAUUUGAAUCCCCUCCACCUGGGCCGCUUCUACAUGUCAUCGCCGGCUCCAGGUCACUCCUAGCCGAGACCUUGCCGGCGUCCCCACAUCUCGCUGGUGCUCACCACGACAACAUCGUCUUCUGUUAUGAGGCUUUGUGCCGCUUUCAUAAGAAUCAACCGACACAACUGAAAGUUUAGUUGCCUGUGAAAUAUCAAUUGCACUAAAUUAUAGAUAUGUGCAUGUGGAUUGGGGAAGAUAAUGCUUCACAUUUAAUUUUUGUCAUUGGGCAUAUUCACGUCCCUAGACUGCACAAAUGAUUUUGGAACGCAUGAAUAAAGACAUGUUGAACUUUGUAUAGUGAGUUGAAUUGCUUGAACAUACAUUAAUGUUCAAUUAGUAAGCACAUAUGUCAUGAAAUAGCAAUUAAAAUGUUCAAUUAAUACACACUCACCCCACCGGAAACAUACAUUAAUGUUUAAUUAAAAAGCACAUAUGUCAUGAAACUAAUAAUAAAACUUAAAAGGUGCACAUAAUAUAUCAGAAUGUUCAAUUAAUAAGCACAUAUGUCAUGAAAUAGCAACAUAUUGCCCAUGCAUUUAUACAUUUCUUUAAUACUCGCACCACGGUCAUAAAAUAUGUUGUCCUCCCUCUUCUUGCUCCCAUGGAUCUGUUCUACAAAAAUAAUAGCAAUUAAAAUAGACAUGGCUGGAAACGUGCAACUGGUACCGGUUUUCUAUAUUGGUAGUGAAACCACUAAAUAUUAUCCAAUAUAACUAAAAAUCAUCAAAAUUAUGUUCUAAAAUAAUUACUUUGUUAUUAUACCUUUCCGUCAUUGUGACUAUCCUUGGCGAAGAUGGCGACUCCGACACUGGCUUCAUCGCUAUGGUGGAGAUCAAGGAUCCUCGCCUUUGGUGUGAUAGUUUUAGUAUAUCCUUGCAUGCGUCAUGUUAAGUCCCGUGAUUUUAAUCAGAUCGUAAAGGAAGCGGUUUGCUGCAUACACUGAAGGAUGAUUUUAGAAUUCCGAAUGGAUUCUUUUUCUUCUUUAACAUGUUUUAAGUGUUAUUUCGGAGCAAUUUUCCAGAUUGUUAUCAUGCAUAAACACUACCGUAUUUAGUAUGCAUCGGGGACUCAAAAAGCUUCGAUAAAUCCUCUAUUUACAGAUCUUUUCCUGUAGGUCUGAAAAAUGUGUUUCUGAUAAUAGAAAUUAGAAGCUAGGUAAAAGAAACGGUCAAAAAACAUCCCUGACACUUUUGUUCUUCUCAUUUAGACCAAAAAAGUUUCUACACAUACUGUGUCAAUGAUAAAUCACAACCACAAUAAUUCGGGGAUAAGACUUAUGGCCUCACACAUGCAGAAACAACAUUGGCGGUACUUGGUCAGCUACUGCGGGCAGUUUAAGGGACCGUCUCAAAUAGUGGUAAUGUUGGAAAUAUGCCCUAGAGGCAAUAAUAAAUUAGUUAUUAUUAUUAUAUUUCCUUGUUCAUGAUAAUCAUUUAUUACCCAUGCUAUAAUUGUAUUGAUAGGAAACUCAGAUACAUGUGUGGAUACAUAGACAACACCAUGUCCCUUGUAAGCCUCUAAAUGACUAGCUCGUUGAUCAAUAGAUGGUUACGGUUUCCUGGCCAUGGACAUUGGAUGUCGUUGAUAACGGGAUCACAUCAUUAGGAGAAUGAUGUGAUGGACAAGACCCAAUCCUAAGCCCAGCACAAAUAUCAUGUAGUUCAUAUGCUAAAGCUUUUCUAAUGUCAAGUAUCAUUUCCUUAGACCAUGAGAUUGUGCAACUCCCGGAUACCGUAGGAAUGCUUUGGGUGUACUAAACGUCACAACGUAACUGGGUGGCUAUAAAGGUGCACUACAGGUAUCUCCGAAAGUGUCUGCUGGGUUGGCACGAAUCGAGACUGGGAUUUGUCACUCCGUGUGACGGAGAGGUAUCUCUGGGCCCACUCGGUAGGACAUCAUCAUAAUGUGCACAAUGUGAUCAAAGAGUUGAUCGCGGGAUGAUGUGUUACGGAACGAGUAAAGAGACUUGCCGGUAACGACAUUGAACAAGGUAUCGGUAUACCGACGAUCGAAUCUCGGGCAAGUACAAUACCGUUAGACAAAGGGAAUUGAAUACGGGAUUGAUUGAAUCCUCGACAUCGUGGUUCAUCUGAUGAGAUCAUCGUGGAACAUGUGGGAGCCAACAUGGGUAUCCAGAUCCCGCUGUUGGUUAUUGGCCGGAGAUUUGUCUCGGUCAUGUCUACGUGUCUCCCGAACCCGUAGGGUCUACACACUUAAGGUUGGAUGAUGCUAGGGUUAGAAAGGAAGUUUGUAUGUGGUUACCGAAUGUUGUUCGGAGUACCAGAUGAGAUCCCGGACGUCACGAGGAGUUCCGGAAUGGUCCGGAGGUAAAGAUUUAUAUAUGGGAAGUCCUGUUUUGGUCACCGGAAAAGUUUCGGGUUUUUUUGGUAACGUAUCGGGACCACCGGGAGGGUCCCGGGGGUCCACCAAGUGGGGCCACCAUCCCCGGAGGGCUGCAUGGGCCAAGUGUGGGAGGGGACCAGCCCCAGGUGGGCUGGUGCGCCCCCCCACAAGGGCCCAAGGCGCCUAGGGUUUGGGGAGGGGGCUCCUCCACCUUACUUGGGGGGCAAGUUUCCCGUCUCCCCCCUUUUGGCCGCCCCCCUAGAUGGGAUCUAGGGCUGGCCGCCGCCCCUAGGGGUGGAAUCCUAGGUGGGAGCGCAGCCCCCUCUCCCCCUAUAUAUAGUGGAGGCAAAGGGGCAGCACAACACAUGAAGUUCUUCUCCUGUUGGCGCAGCCCUACCUCUCUUUCUCCUCCUCUCCCGCAGUGCUUGGCGAAGCCCUGCAUGAUUGCCACGCUCCUCCAUCACCACCACGCCGUUGUGCUGCUUCUGGAUGGAGUCUUCCUCAACCUCUCCCUCUCUCCUUGCUGGAUCAAGGCAUGGGAGACGUCACCGGGUUGUACGUGUGUUGAACGCGGAGGUGCCAUCCGUUCGGCACUAGGAUCUCCAGUGAUUUGGAUCACGACGAGUACGACUCCUUCAACCCCGUUCUCUUGAACGCUUCCGCUUAGCGAUCUACAAGGGUAUGUAGAUGCACUCUCCUUCCCCUCGUUGCUAGUCUCUCCAUAGAUAGAUCUUGGUGACUCGUAGGAGAUUUUUUGAAUUUCUGCUACGUUCCCCAACAGUGGCAUCAUGAGUUAGGUCUAUUGCGUAGAUUCUUUGCACGAGUAGAACACAAAGUAGUUGUGGGCGUUGAUUUUGUUCAAUAUGCUUACUAUUACUAGUCCAAUCUUGUUUCGAUGGUAUUGUGGGAUGAAGCGGCUCGGACCGACCUUACACGUACACUUACGUGAGACAGGUUCCACCGACUGACAUGCACUUGGUGCAUAAGGUGGCUAGCAGGUGCCAGUCUCUCCCACUUUAGUCGGAACGGAUUCGAUGAAAAGGGUCCUUAUGAAGGGUAAAUAGCAAUUGGCAUAUCACGUUGUGGUUUUGCGUAGGUAAGAAACGUUCUUGCUAGAAAUCCAUAGCAGCCACGUAAAACUUGCAAACAACAAUUAGAGGACGUCUAACUUGUUUUUGCAGGGUAUGCUAUGUGAUGUGAUAUGGCCAAGAAGAAUGUGAUGAAUGAUAUGUGAUGUAUGAGAUUGAUCAUGUUCUUGUAAUAGGAAUCACGACUUGCAUGUCGAUGAGUAUGACAACCGGCAGGAGCCAUAGGAGUUGUCUUAAUUUAUUGUAUGACCUGCGUGUCAUUAAACAACGCCAUGUAAUUACUUUACUUUAUUUGCUAAGCGGUAGCCAUAGUAGUAGAAGUAAUAGUUGGCGAGACAACUUCAUGAAGACAUGAUGAUGGAGAUCAUGGUGUCAUGCCGGUGACGAUGAUGAUCAUGGAGCCCCGAAGAUGGAGAUCAAAAGGAGCAAAAUGAUAUUGGCCAUAUCAUGUCACUAUUUGAUUGCAUGUGAUGUUUAUCAUGUUUAUGCAUCUUAUUUGCUUAGAACGACGGUAGUAAAUAAGAUGAUCCCUCAUUAAAAUUUCAAGAAAGUGUUCCCCCUAACUAUGCACCAUUGCGAAAGUUCGUCAUUUCAAAGCACCAUGUGAUGAUCGGGUGUGAUAGAUUCUAACAUUCACAUACAACGGGUGUAAGCCAGAUUUACACACGCGAAACACUUAGGUUGACUUGACGAGCCUAGCAUGUACAGACAUGACCUCGGAACACAAGAGACCGAAAGGUCGAGCAUGAGUCGUAUGGUGGAUACGAUCAACAUGAAGAUGUUCACCGAUGAUGACUAGUCCAUCUCACGUGAUGGUCGGACACGGCCUAGUUGACUCGGAUCAUGUAAUCACUUAGAUGACUAGAGGGAUGUCUAUCUGAGUGGGAGUUCAUAAGACGAACUAAAUUAUCCUGAACAUAGUCAAAAACCCUUUGCAAAUUAUGUCAUAGCUCGCGCUUUAGUUCUACUGUUUUAGAUAUGUUCCUAGAGAAAAUAUAGUUGAAAGUUGACAGUAGCGAUUAUGCGGACAGUAGAAAGCUUAUGUCCUUAAUGCACCGCUCAGUGUGCUGAACCCCAAACGUCGUCUAUGGAUGUUGCGAACAUCGGACAUACAUGUUUUGAUAACUACGUGAUAGUUCAGUUAAACGGUUUAGAGUUGAGGCACCAAAGACGUUUUCGAAACGUCGCCGAACAUAUGAGAUGUUUCGAGGGCUGAAAUUGGGAUUUCAGGCUCGUGCCCACGUAAGAGGUAUAAGACCUCCGACGAUUUUCUUAGCCUGCAAACUAAGGGAGAAAAGCUCAAUCGUUGAUCUUGUGCUCAGAUUGUCUGAGUGCAACAAUCACUUGAAUCGAGUGGGAGUUGAUCUUCCAGAUGAGAUAGUGAUGUUUCUCGAAAGUCAUUGCCACCAAGCUGCUAGAGCUUCGUGAUGAACUAUAACAUAUCAGGGAUAGAUAUGAUGAUCCUUGAGGUAUUCGAGAUGUUUGACACCGCGAAAGUAGAAAUCAAGAAGGAGCAUCAAUUGUUGAUGGUUGGUGAAACCACUAGUUUCAAGAAGGGCAAGGGCAAGAAGGGAUACUUCAUGAAACGGCAAAUCAGCUGCUGCUCUAGUGAAGAAACCCAAGGUUGAACCCAAACCUGAGACUAAGUGCUUCUGUAAUAAGGGGAACAGCCACUGGAGCAGAAUUACCCUAGAUACUUGGUAGAUGAGAGGGCUGGCAAGGUUGAUAGAAGUAUAUUGGAUAUACAUUAUGUUAAUGUGUACUUUACUAGUACUCCUAGUAGCACCAGCGUAUUAAGAUACCGGUUCGGUUGCUAAGUGUUAGUAACUCGAAAUAAAAAAGCUACGGAAUAAACGGAGACUAGCUAAAGGUGAGCUGACGAUAUGUGUUGGAAGUGUUUCAAAGUUUGAUGUGAUCAAACAUCGCACGAUCCCUCUACCAUCAAGAUUAGUAUUAAACCUGAAUAAUUGUCAUUUGGUGUUUGCGUUGAGCAUAGACAUGAUUGGAUUAUGUCUAUCGCAAUACAGUUAUUCAUUUAAGGAGAAUAAUGGUUACUCUAUUUAUUUGAAUAAUACCUUCAAUGGUCUUGCACCUAAAGGAAUGGUUUAUUGAAUCUCGAUCGUAGUGAUACACAUUUUCAUGCCAAAAGAUAUAAGAUAGUAAUGAUAGUACCACUCACUUGUGGCACUGCCAUGUAAGUCAUAUUGGUAUAAAAUGCAUGAAGAAGCUCCAUGUUGAUGGAUCUUUGGACUCACUCGUUCUUGAAAAGUUUGAGACAUGCGAACCAUGUCUAUUGGUGUAUACGCAUGAAGAAACUCCAUGUAGAUGGAUCGUUUGGACUCACUUGAUUUUGAAUCACUUGAGAUAUGCAAAUCAUACCACAUGGGCAAGAUGGCUGAAAAACCUCGUUUUCAGUAAGAUGGAACAAGAUAGCAACUUGUUGGAAGUAACACAUUUUGAUGUGUGCACUCCAAUGAGUGCUGAGGCAUGCAGUGAAUAUCGUUAUGUUCUUACUUCACAGAUGAUUCAAGUAGAUGUUGAGUAUAUUUACUUGAUGAAACACAAGUCUGAAUUAUUGAAUGGUUCAAGUAAUUUCAGAGUGAAGUUGAAGAUCAUUGUGAGAAGAGAAUAAAAUGUCUAUGAUAUGAUCAUAGAGAUGAGUAUCUGAGUUACGAGCUUAGGCACGCAAUUAAGACAUUGUGAAAAUUGUUUCACAAUUAAUACCGCCUAGAACACCAUAGUGUGAUGGUGUGUCCGAACAUCAUAGUUGCACCCUAUUGGAUAUGGUGCGUACCAUGAUGUCUCUUAUCAAAUUACCACUAUCGUUCAUGGGUUAGGCAUUAGAGACAACCGCACUCACUUUAAUAGGGCACCACAUAAUUCCGUUGAUAUGACACCGUGAGAACUAUGGUUUAGAGAAACCUAAGCUGUCGUUUCUUGAAAGUUUGGGGCUGCGGCGCUUAUGUGAAAAAGUUUCAUCGUGAUAAGCUUGAACCCAAAACGGAUAAAUGCAUCUUCAUAGGAUACCCAAAAUGGUUGGGUAUACCUCCUAAUUCAGAUCCGGAAGCAAAAGUGAUUGUUUCUAGAAACGGGUCCUUUCUCGAGGAAAAGUUUCUCUCGAAAGAAUUGAUUGGGAGGAUGGUGGAGACUUGAUGAGGUUAUUGAACCAUCACUUCAACUAGUGUGUAGCAGGGCACAUGAAGUUGUUCUUGUGGCACCUACACCAAUUGAAGUGGAAGCUUAUGAUAGUGAUCAUGAAGCUUCGGAUCAAGUCACUACCGAACCUCGUAGGACGACAAGGACGCGUACUGCUUCGGAGUGGUACGGUGAUCCUGUCUUGGAGGUCAUGUUGCUAGACAACAAUGAACCUACGAGCUAUGGAGAAGCGAUGGUGGGCCCGGAUUCCGACAAAUGGCUUGAGGCCAUAAAAUCCGAGAGAGGAUCCAUUUAUGAAAACAAAGUGUAGACUUUGGAAGAACUACUUGAUGGUCGUAAGGCUGUUGGGUACAGAUGGAUUUUAAAGAAAGAUAGACAAUGAUGGUAAGUAUCACCAUUAAGAAAGCUCGACUUAUCGUUAAGAUGUUUUUCGACAAGUUCAAGGAGUUGACUACGAUGAGACUUUCUCACUCGUAGUGAUGCUAAGGGUCUACUGGAAUUAUAUUAGCAAUUACUGCAUGAUUUAUGAAAUCUUGCAGAUAGGAUGUCAAAAUAUUGUUUCCUCGACGGUAUCCUUGAGGAAAGGUUGUAUCUGAUACAACUAGAAGGUUUUGUCAAUCCAGAAAGACGCUAAUAAGCAUGCAAAGCUCCAGCAAUCCUUCUAAGGACUGGAGCAAGCAUCUCGGAGUUGGAAUGUACGCUUUGAUGAGAUGAUCAAAGAUCUUGGGUUUAUACAAAGUUUAUGAGAAACUUGUAUUUCUAAAGAAGUGAGUGGGAGCACUAUAGAAUUUCUGAUGAGUAUAUGUUGUUGACAUAUUGUUGAUCAGAAAUGAUGUAGAAUUUCUGGAAAGCAUAUAGGGUUAUUUGAAAAGUGUUUUUUAAUAGAAAACCUGGAUUAAGCUACUUGAACAUUGAGCAUCAAGAUCUAUGAGGAUAGAUCAAAAAAUGCUAAAUGGUACUUUCAAAUGAGCACAUACCUUGACAUGAUCUUGAAGGUGUUCAAAAUGGAUCAGUCAAAGAAGGAGUUCUUGCCUGAGUUGUAAGGUAUGAAGUUAAGAGUUAAAGCUCGACCACGGCAGAAGAGAGAGAAAGGACGAAGGUCGUCCCCUAUGCUUCAGACGUAGGCUCUAUAGUAUGCUACACUGUGUACCGCACCGGAAGUGUGCCUUGCCAUGAGUCAGUCAAGGGGUACAAGAAUGAUCCAGGAAUGGAUCAUUGGACAGUGGUCAAAAUUGUCCUUGGAGUAAAUAUGGACAAGUUUCUCGAUUAUGGAGGUGAUAAAGAGUUUGGCGUAAAGGGUUACGUCGGUGCAAGCUUUAACACCUAUCCGAAUGACUUUGAGUAGCAAACCGGAUACGUAUAGUAGAGCAACCAUUUGGAAUAGCUCCAAGUGGAGUGUGGAAGCAGCAUUUACAAUAUGACAUAGAGAAUUGCGAAGUACAUACGGAUCUGAAUAUUGCAGACCCGUUGACUAAAACCUCUCUCACAAGCAAAACAUGAUCAAACCCCAAAACUCAUUGAGUCUUAAUCACAUGGUGAUGUGAACUAGUUUAGUGACACUAGUAAACUCUUUGGAUGUUGGUCACAUGACGAUGUGACCUGUUAGUGUUAAUCACAUGGCGAUGUGAACUAGAUUAUUGACUCUAGUGCAAGUGGGAGACUGUUGGAAAUAUGCCCUAGAGCCAAUAAUAAAUUAGUUAUUAUUAUUAUAUUUCCUUCUUCAUGAUAAUCGUUUAUUAUCCAUGCUAUAAUUGUAUUGAUAGGAAACUCAGAUACAUGUGUGGAUACAUAGACAACACCAUGUCCCUAGUAAGCCUCUAAUUGACUAGCUUGUUGAUCAAUAGAUGGUUACGGUUUCCUGACCAUGAACAUUGGAUGUCGUUGAUAACGGGAUCACAUCAUUAGGAGAAUGAUGUGAUGGACAAGACCCAAUCCUAAGCCUAGCACAUAUAUCGUGUAGUUCAUAUGUUAAAGCUUUUCUAAUGUCAAGUAUCAUUUCCUUAGACCAUGAGAUUGUGCAACUCCCGGAUACCGUAGGAAUGCUUUGGGUGUACUAAACGUCACAACGUAACUGGGUGGCUAUAAAGGUGCACUAGAGGUAUCUCCAAAAGUGUCUGUUGGGUUGGCACGAAUCGAGACUGGGAUUUGUCACUCCGUGUGACGGAGAGGUAUCUCUGGGCCCACUCGGUAGGAUAUCAUCAUAAUGUGCACAAUGUGAUCAAAGAGUUGAUCGCGGGAUGAUGUGUUACGGAACGAGUAAAGAGACUUGCCGGUAACGACAUUGAACAAGGUAUCGGUAUACCGACGAUCGAAUCUCGGGAAAGUACAAUACCGUUAGACAAAGGGAAUUGAAUACGGGAUUGAUUGAAUCCUCGACAUCGUGGUUCAUCUGAUGAGAUCAUCGUGGAACAUGUGGGAGCCAACAUGGGUAUCCAGAUCCCGCUGUUGGUUAUUGGCCGGAGAUAUGUCUCGGUCAUGUCUACGUGUCUCCCGAACCCGUAGGGUCUACACACUUAAGGUUCGAUGACGCUAGGGUUAUAAAGGAAGUUUGUAUGUUGUUACCGAAUGUUGUUCGGAGUCCCGGAUGAGAUCCCGGACGUCACGAGGAGUUACGAAAUGGUCCGGAGGUAAAGAUUUAUAUAUGGGAAGUCCUGUUUUUGUCAUCAGAAAAGUUUCGGGUUUUUUCGGUAACGUACCGGGACCACCGGGAGGGUCCCGGUGGUCCACCAAGUAGGGCCACCAUCCCCGGAGGGUUGCAUGGGCCAAGUGUGGGAGGGGACCAGCCCCGGGUGGGCUGGUGCACCCCCCCCCCCCACAAGGGCCCAAGGCGCCUAUGGUUUGGGGAGGGGGCUCCUCCACCUUACUUGGGGGCAAGUUUCCCCUCUCCCCCCUUUUGGCCGCCCCCCUAGAUGGGAUCUAGGGCUGGCUGCCGCCCCUAGGGGUGGAAACCUAGGUGGGUGCUGCAGCCCUCUCUCCCCCUAUAUAUAAUGGAGGCAAAGGGGCAGCCCAACACAUGAAGUUCUUCUCCUGUUGGCGCAGCCCUACCUCUCUUUCUCCUCCUCUCCCGCGGUGCUUGGCAAAGCACUGCAGGAUUGCCACGCUUCUUCAUCACCACCACGCCGUUGUGCUGCUGCUGGAUGGAGUCUUCCUCAACCUCUCCCUCUCUCCUUGCUGGAUCAAGGCAUGGGAGACGUCACCGGGCUGUACGUGUGUUGAACGCGGAGGUGCCGUCCGUUCGGCACUAGGACAUCCGAUGAUUUGGAUCACGACGAGUACGACUCCUUCAACCCCGUUCUCUUAAACGCUUUCGCUUAGCGAUCUACAAGGGUAUGUAGAUGCACUCUCCUUCCCCUCGUUGCUAGUCUCUCCAUAGAUAGAUCUUGGUGACUCGUAGGAAAUUUUUUGAAUUUCUGCUAUGUUCCCCAACAGGUAAGACACAUAUUGUUUAGUCAUGCUGAUCUAUCCUCCGUGCAGAAUAUAAUGCAAAUAAAUUCUAUUAGCUAAUGUAAAAAGAAAGUCGACACAUUUGCACAACUACUGUAUCCCGAAACCUGAAUAAACUGAGUUACUGGACGAGCAUACAAACUAAGCAAUCCUAUUGUUAUAUAUAUAAUCUAUACAUUCAAUUCAUCAACAGAGAGGGGCUACUCUGCACAAUACCACAUUCUCUGAAAAAUAAACAACACAAAGAUGAAUUUGAGAGGGGGGAGAUGACAUGCUCACUAAUCAUUACCUUCUGGUAUGAUGAAUGUACCAGCACACGAGGAGAUCAGGGCGUACGAGGGGGAGUUGGCAGCAGGUGGGAUGAUUGCGACAGAGAAUUGAUCCUGGUAGAGGUGUGGGUGGAGGUUGUGCCUGCUGGGGUGCCGACCUUGAACUUCAAGAUGCGGGGUGGUGCGACGAUGGGCUUCUUGAGGUCCAGCUGGUCCUCGUCCCUAACAAGCGCCUCGACACCCGGGCCAUAGACCUCCUCGAUGACAUUUUGUUGUUGAUUGUUAUUAACAAUACUGGCAAUGGCAAUUCAGUUUUCUUUGUAGUCAUGUUCAGUUUUAACUUAACUAUUCAUAUUUACUGAGAAAUAUUAUUCUCUGGCUCUCACUAUGUACAUUGGUCAUGAAUUUAAUUUAGAUCAUUCAUUUUCCUAUACUUCUAUCUGAUCCUAAAGCAUGGCAAGUUGGAAACUAUCAAUGCUGUUCUAAAAUGCUAUCUUCACAGAAAUCACAAGUUGGAUUAUGCACCAAUGUAUGGACCAUUUUUUUGUUAGCUUCAUAUUUUAUAUGAAAUAAAGAACCAUACAUGUUCAAACAAGUUAUGUUCAAUGUGGAAUAUUUCAUACGGAGGAAAUUCUGUAACAACCAAUGAUGAACUGUGUACAUAAGGAUAUAAUAUUUUGGCUGAAAAUUAUAAAAAGAACAUUUUGGCUGAGAAGUUCCACGGAUGAACGAGAACUUACCAGCGGAUUAUGAAUGCCAAUUUUCUAAGGAGUGCAGUUUAAAUCACCAUCAUUGAUUACUGCCUUUCAACUAAAGAAUGAUUAUUGGCUUGAAACUUUGUGGUUUCUACAGAACGGAAGGUUAACAUUAGUUUACUCUUUGUAAAGUACCUUUCAAAGAUAAUAAUAUGCAGAUAAGAACUACUACAAUAUCCCUCAGGUGCACUUACAACAAUAUAUAAUAUGACCAAAUCGAAUCUGCAAAAAAUGACUGGGGGAUGUGAAAUAGAAAAUGAGGGCAGAAAUCCAGCUAAGCAAACGCACUUGUACAAUGUCGCUGAAACAUGGACCCAAUUGUUAACCCCGUAAACCUGCAGAUCAAGUUAAAGAAAAUAAAAUAAAAUUAGAAACUUCUCAUCAAGUAAAACUUUGGGAAGUUGUUGAAACAUAGAUAACAAUUAUCAAUCUGUAAACCUGAAGAUUCCAUGAAGAGCAAUGACAGAAAAGCAAAAGGAUUAGCCAUACCAGCCUACGUAAACCACGUCCAAAAUUUUGGGACAUAAGCACUCACCAAGUACGAGUUCUGAAACUCCAAAGUAAUAACCCUGUCCUCCUGAGGCCCUGAUCAUGUUCAGCUAUGACAAUUUCGUAUUGACAGAGAUUGAUUUAACCUACAAGAGCACAAAUCAUAAUCAUUUUAGGUCCUGAUAUGUUCAAUCAAGAGAACAAGUAUGUUUGUCAAGCCUCGCGCUACUGCAUGGCCAAUAGCUAUACCCUUACCCUGCUAUCAAGUUCUUGAAAUCGUUAACAUCACCCUCCUGUAAACUGAAGGAAAACAGAUUCAUGACAAUCCUAUGGAACGGGCAAACAUGAGAUAAAGUCAACAAUUAAAGUAAGAUAAAAUAGUGUAACGAGAGUACAACCCGUAGCACAUACCUUAUUAGUGUACAUGUUGAUAGAAUGACUCAGCUAAAUCUAGUAGGCCGGUAUGCUGAAUCUAACUCUAGUAAAUCCUCUCAUCACGUGCACGUCAUCACCAACUCAGAUGUGCGCCACCGCACAGACCAACCACCAGCCUCAGCCACCGGAGAGCUAUCCGGGAAGCCACCGUGCAGCGCCACCGCCUCGAGUGCAGAUUCAAGCGCUAGAGGCCAGAUCCAACGAGGUCGCGGCACUCCCGUCGCUGAAUCCGCCAUUGCCCACAGCCGAGCGUGAAUGCUCAGAUCAUGCUUCCCCCGACCCGCACAAAGGCUUGUCGGCUACCUCAUCCCGAGGCCGCCAGUGUAUCAAUAAGCAGUGUAUCAUGCAUCCGACCGCAGACGCCGUUCACGCGGCCGACCGCACCGUCAGUAGCCGUGACCGCGUCGUCAUAUUGCACGGCGCCGUCAAGACCAUAUGUACAUUUAAUACAUGUUGCGAUGCGUUGCUGUCCCAUUCGUCCACAUACCGCGAGCAAGUCUCUCUCGUCUGUACCAUCGUUGCUCUCCAUCCUAUUUCAGAUUUUGGAGUACAGACAAAGAAGACUACGGUUGGUACUAGUACUCCUAGCAGGACAUACAUUAGUACAUGAAAAGAAGAAUGGUUUAAGAACAUAGCAUAAAAUUGUACCUUGUCACAGGGGAGAUGGGAACGGACUCUGCAGCUCCUAACGAGAGAGACCGUAACAGGAGACGGCGGCAGCGGCGUGCACACAGGCCGUGCACGCAGGCAACCGGCACCUACAAGAACUUCGCUUGAUCCCCUCCUCUGAGGCCAUGUUGGCGAUCCGGGGAGACGGCGGCGGCGGCGAUCCGGAGAGACGGCGGCGGCGCAAUCCGGAGAGACAACAGUGCCGGCGAUCUGGAGAGGGGAUCGAGAGACGUGCGUUCGGGUGGGGGCAGCGGCGUGAUCCGGAGAGACGGCAGCGAUCUGGAGAGGGGAUCGAGAGACAUGCGUUGGGGAGGUUGCGGGGGCGGCAGCGACGGGCGGCGGCGUUUGAGGGAGGGAGAUGGGGGAGGGGAUCGGCGGCGGCUGCGAGGGCGAGGGCGGCGGCUUGAUGUGCGAGGGCGACGGCGAAGGAUCUGGUGGGGCGUCGCCGGGAGUGAGGGUGGAGAUGGGGGUGGGCGGCGCCGGGAUCGGGGAGGAGAUGGGGGCGGGCGGCGCCGGGAGCCAGGGAGGAGGUUGGGGGUUGGAGGCAUCGACCGUAGGGUUUUUUUGGCACGGUUUUUUUUCGCGGGUGGGUUGCGAGUUAAUGGAGGUGGGAGGAUGACAAAAAACCCGGAGAUGGGAGGAUGACGAAAAAAAACCAGCAAAAAUAAAUCGCGCAGACUAUUCACCAACUGCUCCAUUAGGAGUAGAGAUAUGUAUGGUCUUGUUGCAAUGCACUGACAAUUGGCUUGUAGGUAUUUAUAUUUCACUACCUGUGGAAUCAGCAAUUGCUCGUGCUGACGUUAGCAACCCCACGGACACAGAAACAAAUAGCAUCGAACCACUAGAAUAUGUAUGCCUCCAUUUGAACAUACAUGCACAUCAACCAUCCACACGAUUAUGACGCUACAUAUGUUGGUUGCUGGCGUCACAAUUGGUCCCUAAGCAAGGAAGUGUUGGCCGUGCUCCUACAGAAUACCAUGAGAGUCACUCCUCCGUGAAACUUUUCUCACGAGUACGGCCUUCGUCUGGGUUUAUUUGUUCCCAUCAUAUUUUGUGUGCAAGGCAUGUUGGCGCUGCCACUCCUCGCAGCGCCGCUUCUUCUUCCUCCUUGAGCUGGCUCGCACAACUCGGCCUUUAUCUGACACAACUCUCUUGUGGUUUCUCUCUCCUUCUCUCAAGAACACACACACAUGGGAGAGACUCAAUCACACACACACACACACACGCAUGGACCAAGAAGGAGCACAAAUGCUUUGCCAUAGGCUCUUCUCCUUGGCGAAUACACAUGCUACAUAUUUUCCUCAGCCCUCACGGCCUCUUCAUUUGAUUACUCAAAGCAACACAUUUAUACAGCAGGGGCUGGCACUCUUGCCGUGCAAAACUCACGCCACUACCUAGACCCACUACUCCACUAAACUCUCCAUGCACUAACCAUGUACUAACUGACCUUAUCUUAAUCCUGGAAUCUCUCCAGGAGCCAUGACUUGGCCUCAAAUGCACACUACAUGCAGCUAACAAACUCACAUGCAUGCAAAUUGACUCAACCUGUUUACUCGGAUCACGCAUGUGUAGACGUUGGCUCCAGGGCUCUUUCACACAGGUUGUCACGCUGCACUUCCCUCGUACCAUGUCGCUUCACACGAAGUUGCUGCAUCGCACAGCCCCAUGGCAUCACACCUUGCACACCGGCCGCGUCGCACGACCAGUUCGACAUCUCGCCUUUCUACGACUCAAAGUGAACCUUCACCUGCCUAUCACUCCCUAGGCCAUCUAAGUCACAUGCCUGACAAAAAACAAACUAAGUAUGCAGAUACAAAUUAAGAUUAGAGCUAACAAGGCACGGCGAAACGGCCAUCACGAAGAAAAGCUGAAAGCGAAACAGCCCCGCGUCGUCCGCUCGGGCGGCUCGGGCGGCGACUAGGGUUUCCUCGCGCUGCCACCCCCACCCAUCCCCCUAUCUCCCUCGCCGCCACCCGAGGAGGUCGCCAGGCAAGCCCGCGUGGCCGCCGAUGACGGUGGCGGCGGGGAUCUUGCCACACCGUUUUUCUCGCGGAGGGCAGCGGUCGUCGGGGCGGCGGCCCUGGGUGGCGAGGCGUCGGCGUUCGGCUGGCGGCCUCCGUUGGUGCUGGUGGCCAGGUUCCUCGGCCGUUCGGGCGGCGAGGCCCCUGGUGGUUGGUGGUCGCGGCGGGAAGCCUUCUUCUUCGCCAGAUCUGAAGGUAUGACUCCUCCACCUCUAUGGCUCACUCCUCCUCCCCAUCCAUGGUGUCCGGCGGCCUUGGCUGACGGCGCGCUGGCUGGUGAGGUGCUGGUGGCUCUGGUCUGGGUCCGGGGGAAACCCUAGGCCGGCUGGUCCGGCCUCGGCGGCGGCGACGCCCAAGGGCGCCGCUUUCCUUCCUGGAGGCGCCAUUGAGGACCCUCCUUGCCCACCCCCUACCUUGCUCCCGAGCGAAAGCUCAAAAUCCUCCCCGGAUUGGGCGGCGGCGGCGCCUUGUGCGUCGUGUUCUCCAUGGAGACACCGCCUGGGGAUGCUGCAGGUUUGGGUGAGUGUUGCCUUGGUGUGGAGGAGUCUGGCAGCUGGUUUGUCCUCUCUACAGCGGCUAGCGAUGCCAUGAUUUGCAGAUCCGGCGUCCCCUUUGGUGGUUUCUCUCCGGCAUGGCUGGCAGCCGUGUUGUUGAGUACCCGGUUCUUCUCUGCGGCGACUGAUUUUGCUCUCGUGAUGCUCGCUGCUGUGGCUUGGCUCGGUGCUGUUUCAUCCUCUUAGAUUGCCCCAAGUGGCUUUCCCUCUUUGCUGGGUGUCCGCGGGCGGUGGCGUUGUAGCUGGCGUGGUGUGUUUUUGGCUUCGUGCAGGUCAGGCGACGUGUUCUUCACGAGUGGCCGUGAAGCCGGCUCCUAUCCUAGCUCUCGGGUGAGCGUCUCUCUUGCCAACGGUGCGGCGUCCUCGAGCCAGGACGAGAGGGUAGGGGCCCUCUUCGGCAUCUGAGGAGGUAGGAGUUGUCCCUUCUCCGCCCGAUGUUACAGACACAAUCUUGGUCCUGCCCUUAGCAGCCGGCUGAUCCUUGGCUAUCUACUCUGUCUAGCUGUCCUGGCCCUUAGUUGUAGUGGGCAGCGACAUUAGCAAGCUCUGCUCCAUUUUCCGAUUUUUGUGCUUGUUAGUGUGUGUUGCGUUGUAAGCUGCUCCAUCAGUCCCUUGUAUCUUUUUCUUCUUUGUUUGCCUUGUUGGUUCUCUGUAUUGCCUGGCCGGUUGAUGGCUUUGUUAAUUCAAAACCGGGCUCUUCUUGAGCCUUCGUUCUAAAAAAUAAAAAAAUAUUGUGUGUGCAAGUUUGACCAUGAUAUUUGACUACAAAAGUUAAUUCAUGUCAUAAAAAAUAUUAUUGGAUUCGCAUUUGAAUGAAGUUUCCAUUGAUAUUAAUUUUGCUACGUGUAGAACAUGACCAGAACUACGGAGGAGACUAGUAAAACAGAACGAAGUAAAUAUCAAGCUAGAUCAUGUUUGUUAUCAGGAUAUUUCAAAAAAAUACACUUUUUUCUAAAAAAAAUUGUUUUUCCAUUUCAGAUGCAUUGUCCCCAUGCUCCCAAGAUCCGCGUAGAUUAUCGUUGUACAUAUUUGCACAGUCAGGACAUCCGUUCAUGUCGCGCGGCCGCCAGGGACGGAUCCAGAUUGGGAAUUACCCGGUGUUCACAUAGAAGAAUGCAUGCCUACAUGUCAAAUAAUUCAAUGAUCUACACACUAAAUCAAUGGAUUACAUUAAGCAAGUUCAAAUUGGACCCGGUGCCGGUGACACCGGCUAGCUCUACAUAGCUACGCCCCUGGCGGCCGCAACGAAUCGGUGGACGCACGUACGGUGCAGCCAUGCAUGCAUGCUGUCGGGAUCGAUGCUCAACGACGGCGCGCGCGCGACCGCAGGGAAGGCGCAUGCAUGCUCUGCUGCUGCCGGACCGCCGUACGUGCGCGACAUGUCAACUGUCGGCAAUGCAUGAGCGCGUGGUUUUCCCCGCUAGCAUCCCGGCCGGCCGGCGGUCGACAUGCGCGCCUGAGCUAGUUAGGCCAACUUCACCGCGUGACCCUAUCCUGUCCGCCCCCGUUCAUUUCGGAUAAAAUGGACAAACGAGACGGCCCAGCGCGCGGGCGCAAACGGACUUUUGUUCGUUUUGUGUCCGCUUUUGACCCAUCCGCAGCCCAAGUUUGCGCCGCUUUUGGGGUGAAACGGACACCGACGCGCGGGUCGUCUGCGUGUGUCCUCCCCUGGCCCGCCCGUCGGUGGUGUCGUGGUUCUAAGUCUGACAGUAGAAUGUGGGGUAGGUAUGGAGAGGCAAGAUCCUAGCUAUGGAGUAAUUGUACACACAAGUGUUUUUACGAGUUCAGGCCCUUCUCUGAGGAAGUAAUAGCCCUACGUCUCGGAGCCCGAAGGCGGUCGACUGGAUUACGUGUAUAUGAGUUACAGGGGUGCCAACCCUUCUACCAAUGGAGGGCGGUGGCUUAUAUAGCGGACGCCAGGACCCCAGCCUACCCACGUAGCAGAGGGUUAAAGUACAUUAAGGCCGGGCGUUACUGGUAACGCCCUACAUAAAGUGUCAUCAUGACCAUUAAGACUACUUAAUUACAGACCGUUUGGAUAUAGAGUAGAUCCUGAACUUCUGACGGUCGAGUGCGUCUUCAUGGUCGAGUGUCUUCUAGCCGGUCGAGUGGAGUCUCUCUUGGUCGAGUGGAGCCUCUCUUGGUCGACUGGAAGAUAGCUUCGUCUAAGGAUGUCCUUGGGUAUGGUAUCCUAGAUAGGUCCAUGACCCUACCCUAGGUACAUAACAUCAUCAUUAGCCCCCGAAUGGAUUGAGGUUCGAGUGAGGAAGGAGUUGAUGAUUUUCUCCGACUUAUUUCCUGUUCUUUGAUUAUGUCGUCUCUUGGACCGGCGAUUUUUCUUUCGGCGUUGGCGUCAACUUUUACUUCAGUCGCCUUGAUCCAUUCUUGUCUUCUGUCGAGUGAACUUUUGAACUUUGGUGAACUUCCGAGCGACGGAUCGCGGGAAAGAUAUCGUCUGACACAUUGAUCUGCUGUUAGCAGAUUUUGCGGGAUCCGAAAUUUGGGAAGCGCGCGAAGCGGGGCGGACCGCGACAAUCGGAUGGGAUAGGGCGUGGUCGCCUCGAUUUCCGCGCCGCCUUUUUCGCCACGUAUCGUGCGUGCGCGACUGUUUCGGGAUGUGACAGGAUCGCCUGGACCCACUCGUCAGCCACUCGGAAGUGCCCUUAUAUAAAGCGACGGGGGAGGGUUUUUUGAACAGUGCCUCCCCAUUCUUCUCUCUUCCCUCUUUGCCUCCGCCCACUGCGCCUGCUCUCGCCUCCGCCUAUCCACUCCUCGCGCGCUUCGCCGGCGACAAUGGUGAAGGAGAAUACGGCGGCCCUAGAGCGCGCGAAGAAGGCGACGGCGACGGGGCAAGCGAAGGGGAGACCGUCCAGUCGGGGCGGAUCUUCGUCAAGGUCCCGCCUGCCGAAGGGUUGGGUCCAAGGGGAUUGGAUCCGCUCGACCAUCACUGAGAAAGAUCUCAAUGACCUGGCCAAUGAGGGACUGAUCCCCCACGGGUCAGCGAGGCUUCCGGGGACCGAGUGUCAACCGCAGCCGCAGGAGGGUGAGUGCGUUCUCUUAGCCACUCACGUAGACCGUGGUUUUCCUCUGCCGCCGAGUGUUUUUUUCCGGGGGUUUCUGAAUUUAUUCGGGGCGCAACUCCACCAUUUCACUCCCAACUCCAUCGCCUAUCUUGCUGCCUUUGUGUCCAUGUGCGAGAACUUCCUGGGUUGUCGACCUCACUGGGGUCUCUUCAAGCACAUAUUCACCUGUCGCUCACAGACAGUGAAAAAGGCGAGUCCGGACGAUGAGAGGACUAAGGUUAUCCAGAUGUGCGGCGGUCUUGGGAUCCAGAUGAGCAAUAAGAGUACUUUCCCAGCCAUGACCCUUCCUGAGUCGGUCAGAGGGUGGCAGUCGACUUGGUUCUACUGCCAAGACGAGUCGACGCCGGGGCAGUCGACUGGUCUCCCUCCGUUUUCCAUGGACCGAGUGGACAAACCUUCUUCUUUGAAAGUGCUUCCUGAGGAGAAAGUUCAGGUGAAAAUGCUGAUGGAGCGUGUAGUCCAACUCGUUAGAGAAGGAGUGACGGGUAUGGAUCUUCUGGAGGUCUUCCUUAGGCGGCGCAUCCAACCACUUCAGUACCGAGGCCAUCCGAUGUGGCUGUAUUGUGGGACCGAGGACACCACUCGGGUCCAUCCAGAGGCGGUCGACGACGCCACACUGGAGCGCGAUCACGGGGAAUAAGGACAACCCUCGAGGGGCCAGGAGGAUCCCACCACUCGACUGUACCUACACGCCGGACACGGUAUGGCCAUUUAUUUCCAAUCGCAAUCUUGCUUUAUUCGUUCUGCUUCGGUGUGAAUUGGUCGAGUGAUCCUUGUUUUGCUUUGUUGCUUGACAGGCCACCAUGGAGUUAUACUCGAUGCCCAAUGGAGCGCAGACGCCGACUGAAGAGGAGGAAGGAAGUGGGGGCGAAAGCCCGGAGGAGUGGGAUUCGGAUGCUGACGACGACGAUGACGCUGAAGACUCUGAUGAGGAGGAAGAAGAGGAGGAGGAGCAAGUUGCACCUCCCCACUCAGAAAGACGCUCGAAGCUUGUCCAUGAUCCCACGACUGAGCGUGGUAAGGGGGUCGCGACCGCUACCCAGUCGACUAAGCUCCCUCGGACUACUUCUCCGGCGCCGACUGAGAAGGCUCCGAAGCAAUCUCAAGUGGCACCGUCGAAACCUGUGAAGGUCUUGCCGAAGAUGAAGAUGGUGAUCCCCACUAUCUCAGGGUAAUGGUAGUCUUGAGUUUUCCCCGUUUCAUGAACUUGCUCUUGGUCGACUCAUGGGUCAAUCGACUGACUUCCGGAACUGCAGUGCUGCUACUUCUGAUACUUCGGCCAGGGCUGAAGACCACGAGAUGGAGGAUGUUGCUACCUCAAAACCUAGUAUGACUCUUGUGAUGCCGUUUUCAGACGACUGACUUAUUGUCUCUAAUUUUGAUUCUUUCUGCAGCUUCAUCUAACAUUGUUAUUGACCUUCCUGACGAUGACGAUGAAGAACCACCAAGGCAGAGGAGGAACAAGAAAGCGUCUGCUGGCAAGGCGACUCAGGAUGUGCCAGCACCCGAGACGUUGGUCGUGAAAGGAGACAAUGUCACUCGGCCUACCGUAACCUUUGCGGUGCCGUUGACGAGUGUUCGUCCUCCGUCGUCGAGUGCUGCUCAGCCCUCGCUUUUCUCCACCUACCCCGUUCCAGAAGACCAAGAUAGUGCUGCUAAAGAAGCAAUACACCAAGCGGGGGUCAUGAUGGAGCAAGUGAAGGCAAUACGAGAAGCCAGCUAGGCAGCCUAUGACGCCAGUUCGGCUCUUCAGAGUAAUGUUCAGGUUAGUCGGUCACUGCCUGUUCUGUUAAGAUAUGAUAUCUGAAAACUCUUCUUUCUGAAAUUCUUUGAGUUUUUCCUACACCCACUGGGUGCGUCGAUUGAAAUUCCGGAUUAGUGGGGGCACGCUGAGUGCACCCACUGGGUGUAGUCCCCAAGGCUAUGGUCGACUGCUGGCAGUCGACCAUAGGCUUUAAGUUUUUUCCUUACUCGACUAGGUCGAAUAGAUCAUAGAUCGGUGGGGGCACGCUGAGUGCACCCACUGGGUGUAGUCCCCGAGACUGUGGUCGACUGCUGGCAGUCGACUAUAGUCUGAAGAACAUCUUUUUUUUGUUGGUCGACUGGUCGACUCUAACUGAUGAAACUAGUGGGGGCACGCUGAGUGCACCCACUGGGUGUAGUCCCCGAGACUAUGGUCGAAUGUUUGUAUUCGGCCGCAGUCUUAGAAACGCUAUGAUUUUUCCUUACUCACUCGGAAGUGAAUUGUCUUUGACAUUUGUCGAUUGGUUCUUUGUAGACAUCCUGUGACCUUGCGGCUCGUUAUAUUGAGUUGGAGAACAAACACAUUCAGCUCGAGCUCGAUCUGAAACUGGCCCAAGAGAACUUAACGAAGGCGAAGGAGGAAGCUAAAGGUAUGCUUGGUGAGGCCUUUGAUGACUGCCUUUGCCUCUUACUUGUUUCCGAAUCUAACCUCACUGUAACUUUGCAGACAAAGUGAGGGAUGCUCUGAAGAAGCAAGAGCUUGACUUGGCUGAGAUGCAAAAAACUACUUUAGAGAAGACCAGGCUUGCUGAUGAGAAGCUGGCUUCAGUGACCAAGCUUGAAGAAGAAAACACCAAUCUGAAAGCUGCUCUUGAUGCUGCCAACCAGGAGGUCAGUCGACUGAAAAGUGACAAGACCACCCUGAAUGACAAGGCCAGUGAGUUGAAGAGAAAGAAGAACGAUCUAGAGGCUUAUCUGGGUGGACUCGCCAAGAAGUUGUUCCUCAUGCUUGAAGGUAAUACUUUGUCUCAAACAAAUAUUUUAAUUGUAACCUCCGACUGUUUGUCUUGACUCGGUGGCUGUGCUUGCAGAGUUCUGUCAGAACUUUGAAGAGGAGACUGGUCGACUGGAAGUAAACCUGGAUCCCAUCAACUCUCCCGUGAAAGAUGAAGUCGCCAUGAAUGUGCUCCGGCUGGAAUCUCGUGUUGCUGCUAUCAUCGAUUAUCUCGCACGGUUGAAGGUCGCAACUUCUCGCAUCGACACAACACUCUGGCCAAGAGAAACACUCCAGAACGACCUCGAGUCUCUGAUGACUCGACUGAACGAGGUCCCAAGUCGAGUGCAGGAGUGGAAGAAGUCUUCGGCCAGGUGCGGUGCGGAUGUUGCUCUGUCUCUAGUCCGUGUUCACUGCAAGGAUGCACGAGAGGACAAGCUGGUGGCUCUUAGGGUGGCUAAUACCAAGAAGCACGAUUUCAGAUCUUUCAUGGAGACCUUCAUUGCUGCUGCCACUCGGAUUGCAGAUGUAAUUGAUCUGGAUGAGUUUGUUGCACCUUCCAGCCCUCCACAGGAGGGGUAAAAAACUUCUGAGCUUGAUACUUUAAAUUUGCCUCAGUAUGCCGAGUGAGUUUUGUAACCGACAAACCUUAACAGGCUUAGCGCCUGAGCACUUUCGGUUCCGUUAGGUGUUAUCCGAACUUGGAUUCGACGUUGAAUAUGUUUGCAUUUGGUUUGAGGUGUCUUUUGCUGGUUAAAGCGAGGCGCUCAUUGCAAUCGACUUGUUCCCCAAUACACUUAGGCGGGCACUGGGCUGCAGCUAAGCCCCCGAGUGAGAGGUUUGCUCUCCACUCCGUAGGAUUUUGGAUACUUAGGCGAGCACUGGGCUGCAGCUAAGCCUCCGAGUGGGAGGUUUGCUCUCCACUCGGUAGGAUUUUAGAUACUUAGGCGAGCACUGGGCUGCAGCUAAGCCCCCGAGUGGGAGGUUUGCUCUCCACUCGGUAGGAUUUCAGAUACUUAGGCGAGCGCUGGGCUGCAGCUAAGCCCCCGAGCGGGAGGUUUGCUCUCCGCUCGGUAGGAUUUUAGAUACUUAGGCGAGCACUGGGCUGCAGCUAAGCCUCCGAGUGGGAGGUUUGCUCUCCACUCGGUAGGAUUUUAGAUACUUAGGCGAGCACUGGGCUGCAGCUAAGCCCCCGAGUGGGAGGUUUGCUCUCCACUCGGUAGGAUUUCAGAUACUUAGGCGAGCGCUGGGCUGCAGCUAAGCCCCCGAGUGGGAGGUUUGCUCUCCACUCGGUAGGAUUUCGUAUUGGUGGCGUGGCUCGGAAGGAGUGGGUAGCAGUCGACCUGCACCUCAUCCUCCUUGCAGAGCGCACGUUGUACUUGUGGCGUAGCUCGGAAGGAGAGGGUAGCAGUCGACCUGCACCUCGUCCUCUUUGCGAAGCGCACGUUGUAUUUGUACUUAGGCGAGCGCAAUGCUGCAGCUAAGCCUCCGAGUGGAAGGCUGGCUUACCACUCGACAGGNNNNNNNNNNNNNNNNNNNNNNNNNNNNNNNNNNNNNNNNNNNNNNNNNNNNNNNNNNNNNNNNNNNNNNNNNNNNNNNNNNNNNNNNNNNNNNNNNNNNNNNNNNNNNNNNNNNNNNNNNNNNNNNNNNNNNNNNNNNNNNNNNNNNNNNNNNNNNNNNNNNNNNNNNNNNNNNCGCUCGGUAGGAUUUUAGAUACUUAGGCGAGCACUGGGCUGCAGCUAAGCCUCCGAGUGGGAGGUUUGCUCUCCACUCGGUAGGAUUUUAGAUACUUAGGCGAGCACUGGGCUGCAGCUAAGCCCCCGAGUGGGAGGUUUGCUCUCCACUCGGUAGGAUUUCAGAUACUUAGGCGAGCACUGGGUUGCAGCUAAGCCCCCGAGUGGGAGGUUUGCUCUCCACUCGGUAGGAUUUCAGAUACUUAGGCGAGCGCUGGGCUGCAGCUAAGCCCCCGAGUGGGAGGUUUGCUCUCCACUCGGUAGGAUUUCGUAUUGGUGGCGUGGCUCGGAAGGAGUGGGUAGCAGUCGACCUGCACCUCAUCCUCCUUGCAGAGCGCACGUUGUACUUGUGGCGUAGCUCGGAAGGAGAGGGUAGCAGUCGACCUGCACCUCGUCCUCUUUGCGAAGCGCACGUUGUAUUUGUACUUAGGCGAGCGCAAUGCUGCAGCUAAGCCUCCGAGUGGAAGGCUGGCUUACCACUCGACAGGAUUUUGUUUAUCUUAGGCAAGUACUUGGACUGCAGCUAAGCCUCCGAGUGGAAGGCUAGCUUACCACUCGACAGGAUUUUGUUUAUCUUAGGCGAGUACUUGGACUGCAGCUAAGCCUCCGAGUGGAAGGCUGGCUUACCACUCGGUAGGAUUUUAUUUAUCUUAGGCGAGUACUUGGACUGCAGCUAAGCCUCUGAGUGGAAGGCUGGCUUACCACUCGGUAGGAUUUUGUUUAUCUUAGGCGAAACGGAUUUCGCAGCUAAGCCUUCGUGUGGGAGACUGGCUCACCACUCGGUUAGGAUUUUUUUUACAGACUUGGGCGAAUCGGAUUCGCAGCCAAGACACCAACUGGGGGAUUGUUUUGAGUGGACAAAAGAAAUAACGAUGACUGGGAAGAUUAUAAAGCUCUUGUGUUUGAUAAAUAAACUACAGAAGUACUUUUAUUACAACUCAUCCGAGUGAAUACUUAGGUGUAAAAGGGGCGGAGAAGCUCCGCGUUCCAAGCUCGGGGCUCGUCGAUCUGAUGUUCGACAUUGUAAAGACGUAUGCUUAGAACCUUGGUGACGAUGAAGGGACCUUCCCAAGAAGGAGCAAGCUUGUGUGGUUUCUGCUGAUCCACUCGGAGAACUAAAUCUCCUUCCUGGAAGGCUCAACUCUUCACGUUUUUGGCGUGGAAGCGAUGCAAGUCUUGUUGGUAAAUGGUUGAUCUGAUCAGAGCCAUCUCCCUCUCUUCCUCUAGAAGGUCGACUGCAUCCUGCCGCGCUUGUUCUGCUUCAGCUUCAGUGUAGAGCUCGACUCGGGGAGCAUUGUGGAGAAGGUCACUCGGCAAGACUGCUUCAGCUCCGUAGACCAAGAAGAAUGGAGUUCUUCCAGUCGACCGGUUGGGCGUGGUCCUUAACCCCCAAAGCACUGAGGGAAGUUCGUCGACCCAUGCACCAGCCGCAUGCUUAAGAUCACGCAUCAAACGGGGUUUCAACCCUUUGAGAAUCAAACCAUUGGCUCGUUCUGCUUGUCCAUUCGACUGUGGGUGAGCAACUGAAGCAUAGUCGACUCGCGUGCCUUGAGAUGUGCAGAAAGCUCUGAACUCUUCAGAGUCGAAGUUUGACCCGUUGUCAAUGAUGAUGCUGUGCGGAACCCCAUAUCUGAAUAUCAAUUCUCUGAUGAAGCUGACAGCAGUACCGGCAUCGAGGUUCUUGAUGGGUUUAGCUUCGAUCCACUUAGUGAACUUGUCGACUGCUACCAGCACAUGGGUAAAACCGCUUCUGCCUGUUCUCAAAGGACCGACCAUAUCCAAACCCCACACUGCAAAGGGCCAGACGAGUGGUAUAGUCUUCAAAGCUGACGCGGGCUUGUGUGACAUAUUGGAGUAAAAUUGGCAUCCCUCGCACUUGUCGACUAUCUCCUUCGCCAUUUCAUUCGCUCUUGGCCAAUAAAAUCCGGCUCGGUAUGCUUUGGCCACGAUGGUCCGAGAGGACGCAUGAUGGCAACAGGUCCCCGAGUGGAUGCCAUCAAGGAUUAUUCGACCUUCCUCCGGUGUUAUGCAUUUCUGACCAACUCCAGUCGCGCUUUCUCUAUACAACUGUCCUCUUAUCACGGUAAAGGCCUUAGAUCGGCGGACGAUCUGUCGAGCCUCUUCUUCGUCCUCCGGGAGUUCUUUCCUCAAGAUAUACGCGAUGUAUGGUACUGUCCAAUCUGGAGUGAUCACUAGAACUUCCAUGAUCAGGUCGACCACUGCUGGGACUUCAACCUCAGUCGGGUCCAUAAUACUCUUAGGUUGCGGAGCUUCAUCGGUAAAAGGGUCUUCUACGACUGACGGAGUGUGGAUAUGCUCCAAGAACACAUCACUGGGGAUGGCUUCUCUCUUGGAUCCUAUCUUCGCCAGAUCGUCAGCUGCUUGAUUUUUCAGUCGGGGUAUGUGGUGGAGCUCUAACCCUUCGAACUUCUUUUCGAGCUUCCUCACUGCAUUGCAGUAUCCAGUCAUUGCUGGGCUUCUAAUGUCCCACUCCUUCAUCACCUGAUUGGCCACCAAAUCCGAGUCGCCAUAAACCAUAAGGCGACGGACGCCGAGUGAAAUGGCCAUGCGCAACCCAUACAAGAGUGCUUCAUAUUCUGCUUCAUUGUUGGAGGAAUCAAAGUGGAUCUGGAGUACAUAUCUGAGCUUGUCUCCUCGGGGGGAAACCAAAACAACCCCAGCACCAGAAGCAUUUAACAUCUUAGAGCCAUCAAAGAACAUGGUCCAAUGCUCCGAGUGAACUUGAGUCGGCUGUUGUUGCUCAAUCCACUCGGCAAGGAAAUCUACUAUAGCCUGGGACUUAAUGGCUUUCUUUGCCUCGAAUUUGACAUCAAGGGGAAGGAGUUCAAUCGCCCAUUUAGCCACUCGACAAGUUGCAUCUCUGUUAUGCAGAAUUUCUGACAAUGGUGCGUCGCUGACGACUGUAAUGUCAUGAUCAGAGAAAUAAUGAGCAACCUUCUUCAUGGUCAUGUAGAUCCCAUAUACGAGCUUCUGAUAAUGAGGGUAUCUUUGCUUCGAUGGGGUCAAUACUUCAGAGAGAUAAUACACUGGGCACUAAAUUUUGAAGGCUUUCCCUUCUUCUUCCCGCUCGACCGUAAGUACUGUACUGACGACUUGUCCUGUGGCUGCAAUAUAAAGCAACAGAGGCUCUUUGCUGAUUGGAGCAACAAGCACCGGCUGGGUGGAGAGCAGAGUUUUUAACUCGGCGAACGUUGCAUCAGCUUCUGGAGUCCACUCGAACUUGUCUGCCUUCUUCAUCAGUCGGUAAAGGGGCAAUACCUUUUCACCGAGGCGAGAAAUGAAUCGACUUAAAGCGGCCAAGCAUCCAGUAAGCUUCUGGACGUCGUGCACACGCACAGGGCGCUUCAUUCGGAGUAUGGUGCCAACUUUUUCUGGGUUAGCAUCGAUUCCUCGUUCUGAAACGAGAAAACCGAGUAACUUUCCGCCAGGUACUCCGAAUGUGCACUUCGAUGGAUUGAGCUUGAUACCAUACCUUCUGAGAUUGGCAAAUGUUUCGGCUAGGUCAGUCAAUAGGUCGGAACCUUUUCGCGACUUGACCACGAUAUCAUCCAUGUAUGCUUCCACAUUCCGACUGAUUUGAGUGAGUAAACACUUUUGAAUCAUUCUCAUGAACGUGGCUCCGGCAUUCUUGAGGCCGAAUGGCAUGGUGAUAUAGCAGAAGCACCCGAAUGGAGUGAUGAAAGCUGUUUUGAUUUCGUCGGGUCCAUACAGACGGAUCUGAUGAUACCCGGAAUAAGCGUCUAAAAAAGACAAUCUCUCGCACCCUACGGUCGAGUCGACAAUUUGGUCGAUGCGAGGGAGAGGAAAAUGAUCUUUCGGGCAGGCCCGAUUGAUGUGUUUGAAAUCAAUGCACAUACGAAGUGAGUUGUCCUUCUUGGGGACCAUGACGACAUUGGCGAGCCACUCGGAGUGGUAUAUCUCUCGGAUGAACUCUGCUGCAAGGAGUUGAGCCACCUCCUCGCCAAUGGCUUUUUUCUUCUGAAUGGCGGACCGUCGAAGAUGUUCUUUAACGGGUUUCACUUUUGAGUCGACUCUAAGGCGAUGCUCAGCCAGCCCCCUGGGAACACCCGGCAUGUCAGCUGGCUUCCAUGCAAAGAUGUCUCAGUUCUCAUGGAGGAACUGGAUGAGCGCUUCUUCCUAUUUAGAGUCGAGUGUUGUGGAAAUAUGGGUCGGAGCUGCAUUGGGGUCAGUCGGGUGGAUAUGAACUGGCUUCGUUUCCCCGGACGACUGAAAUGCUGACUCUGUGGCGGGCUUCUUGGCCCGCAGCAAAUCACUUGGAUCUGCAUUCUUCUUGUAUUCCUCCAACUCUACCACCGUUAUCUGGUCAUCCGCAAUCUUUGAGCCUUUCUGGAAACACUCUUCUGCCUUCUUCCGGCUGCCAGUGAUGGUGAUCACGCCUUUGGGGCCAGGCAUCUUAACUUGAGGUACACAUAACAUGGUCGAGCCAUGAAGCUUGCAUAGGCUGGCCUUCCCAAAAUAGCGUGGUAGGCGCUUCGGAAAUCCACGACUUCAAAUGUCAGCUUCUCUUUGCGGAAAUGCUUCGAGUCGCCGAACACUACAUCUAGAGCUAUUUGGCCGAGUGACUCAGCCUUCUUUCCUGGGAUGACUCCAUGAAAACUCAUGUUGCUGGAACUGAGCCUGGACAUCGGAAUGCCCAUUCCCUUGAGUGUCUCUGCAUACAGUAUAUUCAAUCCACUGCCACCAUCCAUCAAUACCUUCGUCAGUCGAGUGCCUUCGACGACUGGGUCGACCACCAGCGCUUGCCUCCCAGGGGUGGCAAUGUGAGUAGGAUGAUCGGACUGGUCGAAAGUAAUGGGAGUUUGCGACCAUCUCAGAUAGUUUUGUGUCGCCGGGGCGACCAUAUUGACCUCACGGUUGAUCACUUUCAGUCGACUUUUGCUCUCUACAUCGGCAAAAAUCAUCAGAGUGGAGUUGACAUGAGGGUACUCUCCAUCACUGUCCUCCUUGUCCUCAGCCUUGUCCGACUCCUUCUCUUUGUCCUUCGGUUGUUUCCCCUAAAACUGCUGGAUUAAGAGCCGGCACUGGCAAGUGGUAUGCUUUGGGUAGAUGAAGUUACCCUCUUCGUCUUUCUUCGUGUGGAUAUGACACGGUAGAUCCAUCAUGUCAUUACCUUCCUUAUCUUUUACCUUCUUGGGGUUCCAAGAUCCUUUGGGCUUUCCUUUGAAUUUGCCCUGAGUCACGGCCAGAGCCUCUCCAGGAGCAGCUGGCUCGGCCUUCCGCUUUUGCUUCCGACUGGAGUUUCCUUUAUCCGACUGACUCGGCUUGUACCUGCCACUCCGGAGUCGGUCCUCUUCUUCGCCAUUGGCGUACUUGAUGGCUAUUUCCAUCAUCCGACUCAGGGUCAUAUCUCCAGUUCGACCAAACUUCAGGCUCAACUCUCUGUUCUUGACACCAUCCUUGAAGGCGCAGACCGCUUGAUGGUCUGACACGUUCUCUACAGUAUGAUGCAAAGUGAUCCAUCUCUGGAUGUAAUCUCUCAGAGUUUCACUCGACUUUUGUACACAAACUUGCAGCUCUGUCAAUCCGGCCGGUCGCUUGCAAGUUCCCUCGAACGUCCUGACGAACACUCGGGAAAGAUCUUCCCAAGUGUAAAUGCUGCUAGGAGCUAACUGAUUCAACCACGCCCUGGCUGAACCCUCUAGCAUAAGUGGCAAAUGCUUCAUGGCCACCUCAUCAUUACCGCCACCAAUCUGAACAGCCACCCGGUAGUCUUCAAGCCAAGUUUCAGGCUUAGACUCUCCGGUGAAUUUACUCACUCCAGUCGCCAACCUGAAGUUGGGGGGUAUCACUGCGGCUCUGAUGGCUCUGCUAAAGCAUUCUGGACCUGAAACAUGGACUCGGCUGCUUGUGGGCACAUCUCUGUCAUGGACACCUCUAUGAGCUCUGUUCCGGUCGACCAAACCUUGCACGAUGAUGGAUCUCGCAUCAAAGCCUGGCUCUCUGGGGUCGACCGGGGCUUUCCGCCCAACACUGAGCUGGCGUCUGUCAUCUUGCUGCCGAUGGGCGUUAGACCCACCCCUCGGGGGAGGAGUGAGCACUCGAUGCCUGUCAUCAUGAUCAAAUCGAUCAUCAUAGUGGUCCUGCCGGCCUUCACGUCCCACGUGCCUCGGAGGCGACCUUGGACUGUGAGCCGACUGAACAGUAUUCGCAGCGACGGAUCGACUGUGAAUCCUGUUGCGCGACUGUGACACAGCUGAAUUCUGAUCUCCUGCCGCCCGGAGCAAAUCUCUGAUCUGCAUCAAGCCUGUCCCAGCCUCUGACUGAGAGGUCUGAAUUGACUCCGCUAUACGGGCUUCAGCUGCCAAAUUCUGAAUUGGGGUUCGAUAUACCUGAGUCGGUUGCGGAAAGAGCUGACGUCGGUUGGAGUUGGUCACUCGUUGACGCGCACGCUCGUCGAGUGCUCUCUGGAGGUUCUCCAGUCGAGUGCGUUCAGCCAGUUGACUAAACGCGCCUCUUCCAGGGCACGAGCCUCAGGAGUUUCUCCUGCAAUGGGAGUAUGCAGGGCAUCCAUGUUCCGACGGCGAAGUUCUUCCCUCUGCUGAGAAGUGAGCGGCUCGGGCUGAUACUCUUCGUGGGCUUGAGCGGGGUCGCCUCCGUCGUCCAUCCCGUCGUCGCGGGGGAAACCGGGAGCACUACGAGGCCCGUUGACCAUCAGGACCUCCGCCGCUGGAUCACUGCUAUCGCACUCGGAUGCAGUCUCUACGGAGCCAGUCGAAUAGGCCGUAGAGAGAUUCGUCGGGCUCAAUUGCCGCGACUUGGGUGGUGGCCGAUUGGCGAGCCACUGCGUGCCUCACCCACCGCUGGAGCCUCGACCGACCGGAGCGCUUGCGCUGGCGGGAGACAGGGAGGGAGGACGGCGCAGGAGUCGACCGGUAUGGGUCGACGGCUGCCGCAGCAAGACGCCGCGGACACACGCCCGAAAGUGCGUUGCCCCACGGACGGGGAGCGCUUUGAUGUCGAGUGGUGCCUCCUGGAGCCAAGCGGAGUCGUCGGCGAUGAAAGCGAGCGCCCCGAGACGGAUCUCGCGGCCCUCGACUAGAGCUCCGCCGGAAACCAUGAUGAAGGCGAUCAGGCAAAUUGCAACUUCUCCAAAAAAAGUCGCUAAGACACCUGCCCCACGGUGGGCGCCAACUGUCGUGGUUCUAAGUCUGACAGUAGAAUGGGGGGUAGGUAUGGAGAGGCAAGAUCCUAGCUAUGGAGUAGUUGUACACACAAGUGUUUUUACGAGUUCAGGUCCUUCUCUGAGGAAGUAAUAGCCCUACGUCUCGGAGCCCGGAGGCGGUCGACUGGAUUAUGUGUAUAUGAGUUACAGGGGUGCCAACCCUUCUACCAGUGGAGGGGGGUGGCUUAUAUAGAGGACGCCAGGACCCCAGCCUACCCACGUAGCAGAGGGUUAAAGUACAUUAAGGCCGGGCGUUACUGGUAACACCCUACAUAAAGUGUCAUCAUGACCAUUAAGACUACUUAAUUACAGACCGUUUGGAUACAGAGUAGAUCCUGAACUUCUGACGGUCGAGUGCGUCUUCAUGGUCGAGUGUCUUCUAGCCGGUCGAGUGGAGUCUCUCUUGGUCGAGUGGAGCCUCUCUUGGUCGACUGGAAGAUAGCUUCGUCUAAGGAUGUCCUUGGGUAUGGUAUCCUAGAUAGGUCCAUGACCCUACCCUAGGUACAUAACAUCAUCAUUAGCCCCCGAAUGGAUUGAGGUUCGAGUGAGGAAGGAGUUGAUGAUUUUCUCCGACUUAUUUCCUGUGCUUUGAUUAUGUCGUAUCUUGGACCGGUGAUUUUUCUUUCGGCGUUGGCGUCAACUUUUACUUCAGUCGCCUUGAUCCAUUCUUGUCUUCUGUCGAGUGAACUUUUGAACUUUGGUGAACUUCCGAGUGACGGAUCACGGGAAAGAUAUCGUCUGACAGAUUGAUCUGUUGUUAGCGGAUUUUGCGGGAUCCGAAAUUUGGGAAGCGCGCAAAGCGGGGCGGACCGCGGCAAUCGGAUGGGAUAGGGCGUGGUCGCCUCGAUUUUUGCGCCACCUUUUUCGCCACGUAUCGUGCGUGCGCGACUGUUUCGGGAUGUGACAGGAUCGCCUGGACCCACUCGCCAGCCACUCGGAAGUGCCCUUAUAUAAAGCGCCGGGGGAGGGUUUUUUGAACAGUGCCUCCCCAUUCUUCUCUCUUCCCUCUUUGCCUCCGCCCACUGCGCCUGCUCUCGCCUCCGCCUAUCCACUCCUCGCGCGCUUCGCCGGCGACAAUGGUGAAGGAGAAGACGGCGGCCCUAGAGCGCGCGAAGAAGGCGACGGCGACGGGGCAAGCGAAGGGGAGACCGUCCAGUCGGGGCAGAUCUUCGUCAAGGUCCCGCAUGCCGAAGGGUUGGGUCCAAGGGGAUUGGAUCCGCUCGACCAUCACUGAGAAAGAUCUCAAUGACCUGGCCAAUGACGGACUGAUCCCCCACGGGUCAGCGAGGCUUCCGGGGACCGAGUGUCAACCGCAGCCGCAGGAGGGUGAGUGUGUUCUCUUAGCCACUCACGUAGACCGUGGUUUUUCUCUGCCGCCCAGUGUUUUCUUUCGGGGGUUUCUGAAUUUCUUCGGGGCGCAACUCCACCAUUUCACUCCCAACUCCAUCGCCUAUCUUGCUGCCUUUGUGUCCAUGUGCGAGAACUUCCUGGGUUGUCGACCUCACUGGGGUCUCUUCAAACGCCCUACAUAAAGUGUCAUCAUGACCAUUAAGACUACUUAAUUACAGACCGUUUGGAUACUGAGUAGAUCCUGAACUUCUGACGGUCGAGUGCGUCUUCAUGGUCGAGUGUCUUCUAGCCGGUCGAGUGGAGUCUCUCUUGGUCGAGUGGAGCCUCUCUUGGUCGACUGGAAGAUAGCUUCGUCUAAGGAUGUCCUUGGGUAUGGUAUCCUAGAUAGGUCCAUGACCCUCCCCUAGGUACAUAACAUCAUCAGGUGGCACAGGACGGGCCUUUUUUAUCCGCCCCCUCCCUCCCUCCGACCGCAUCCACUCCACUCUUCCCCACUCUUCCCCUCUCCCCCCUCGCCGCCGCCGGCGCCCGCUGCCAUUGCAGCCGUGCAACUCGGACGCGCGCUUGCCCAGCCCCUUCCUCUCGUCGCCGCCGAGCUACCCAAGCACGGCCACCUUGUUUGCGCACCCGCCGGCCGGAUUUGGGGCGGAUCCGGUCGGUCUUGAGCUCGCACGGCUGUGGGAGACCGGGCCGCGCCAUGGACUGGCCGGGCACCUUGCCGGAAGGCCCUGGCAGGGCCGCAAGGCCACAUGCAGGCAGUGGCUCGUCUUCUAGCUGCUCGGAUCUGCACCGUCGGUGGUCCGCCGGCAGAUACGAGAAUGGCGACCGGCCGGGCUCGGUGCUUGCCCAAAAGCUCGUCGGCGCACUGUUGCCCCUCAUCAAGUGCGACCACUGCCCAAGGGUGGUCGUGCGCCGCGUGUCUACAACGCCGGAGCAUCCCGGAUGGGUGUUCAUCAAGUGCUUAAACGAUGGGGUAUGUGCUCUUUUAGCUUCGGUUUGUGCUUUUGGAUUAGACUAGUGGUGCUAACUUUAAGUUUUAUUGUGUAGACCGGAUGCAAGUUUUGGUAUUGGAAAGAAGAGUACAACGAUAUGUUGAUAGAGCGAAAUGUAGUGCAUGUUCGUGCACUUUUAGCUAGCCUAGAGGCUUUAGAUGAGACAAGUGCACUUGUUGCUAGAUUAGAGUCUAGGCACGAUACUACGUGCGAAGAAGCAACAAGGCACGAUACUACGUGUGAGGAAGCAACCUCGACUUCUGGCUUGAAGAAGAAAGGAGGGGGCAACGUCGUGCAUCCUCCACAGAUCAAUAAUGAGUGCAUCGAGAAGGCGCUAACCCAACUCAAGGGAGCAGUUAUGGAAGUUGGGUAUCUUCUCAAAUGUAUUCUUGUGGUUCUUAUUUUCUUUGGCCUUGCUUUACUAGUCAAAAUGUGAUGAUGUAUUGUCAUGUACCAAAAAUGAAUGAUAAAAAAAAUUUAAGGACUUGCAAAGAAAUAUACGCGGACAGGAUGAGGCAAAUGGAUGCGGCCGCGCGCUGGGCGCACGGCCACCGCAUCCCAGAACAGGCCCGGACACGACCCCAAACCCCUACCCAAACAGACAGAAUCCGGACAAAACGAACGUCCGUUUGAGGUCGCGCGGUGAAGUUGGCCUUAUAUGCCGUAUGAGCAGUACGAGACGUGCAACGACACACUGCUAUGUGUUCCUCGAAGACAAGGACCGCCGGCGGCCCGGCCUGUCAUCUACUAGCAUUAAUAAUCCUUUUUUUUUGCUGCACGGUACACAUGCAUAUACUGUGUAUCACUAACUUUCCCGUUUUUUUUGCGGGUGUAUCACUAACUUUCCCGAUGGACAACGUGGGCUCAUGGGCACAUGUCAACGUGGUGGUAAUAAUUAGUACGGCGGGGGGAGUCACUGCGAGUGAGUGACGCCAGCCGGCCGGCCAUCUCCGGCUGACCGGAUCGACAUGCAUUGCAUGCACGGAGAGAACUUCGCCGGUGGCAGCCGUAGUAGCACGAGACGUGCAAUGACAUAGGUGUCCCUCCAAGACAAGGACCGCCGGCCUGUCAUCUAGCACCGGCCACAUGCAGCUUAAGUAGGAUUUUCCCCCCAGUACGCGGUACCACAUGUGAGGGUCAAACUAUAUCUCUAUUCGACGAAAUUAAUGGAUAUUAUUCUGGAUGUACUCGUUUUCCUUUUAUUCUGGAGAUGUGCUCAUGUCAACGUGGUGCGGGAUGUAUGUGAACACUGAACCAGCGGUGUGAUUGUGUGAACAUGGAUGCAUACGUACGUACGGCUCAGCUUUGCGGUGCAUCUCAUCUCAUCACAACAACGUCAUGCAACGAUCUUCGUUAUUCUAUUAUAUAAGAAAGCAUCAGAUAUUUUGCAAUGUUUAGACAUAACAAAAACUACAACACCCCGAGCAAACGUUGAGAAAUGGUGAGGUCCCUCUUCUUCUUGUAGACAUCGCUUGGGAGCCUCGGUAUUUCUGAAUGGGUGGUUCGUGUGUGGAGGCGGCUGUGCUCAACUGCUCAUGGCAUGGGGUGCUGCAUCAGUGGUCGUACUCGGAGUCUCAUCUUCUUUGGUCGCUUCGUUUCCUAUAGCGGUUCAUGCCAGUGAGCUUUCUACCGUCCGACGACGGUACCGGGCCGAGGUCCUCUUUUCUCAAAGCAGGCGGAAACUUCUUCCCCCUGUCUUGGUUGUCGCUCGCAGGUUGGCAUUGCCUAGCCUCAACCUUGAUCAACACGAAUUCAGCAGACAAGUAUUUGACAUCGUGCCUUGUGCUCGGAGCACUGUUUAUCCGGUAAUUCCCUUUGAGUUGUCAGCCUCAACUCAUCUUUCAUCAUAUGUAAACGGGCGAAAGCCGAUUUCUCCGAAUAUGGUGCUCUGAUCGGUUACCACUGAUUGAGCGGAUGGCGAUCAGAUCGGUCAGCUAACAAUGAUCAAAGAUUUUUCUUUUUGCGAAUACGCAAGAUUGCGUAUCAUUUAACAAUGCUCAAAGAUGGAGAUGGAGACCAGAGACAAAUUAGAGUUGGUUUUUAAAAUUCUUUUUUGGCGAAAAGAGUGGAGCUGGAACUGGAGUUGCUUUGGGAAGGGACAAAAGGAUGAGCAGCAAAACGUUAAUCCCGUGGAGCUGCCACUGUUUGGGUAUAGAAGCAAACGUACUCUCCUCGGUGCUACUUCAAUAAAAUAAGCAAUGAUGUUCAGAGCUAUCCCGACCUGUCCGGAGCUGUACACUAAACAAUGCUAACAGCAGGAGUACUCCUAAUCAAUCAUAUGAUCACGUCAAAACCUUAGCCGUGUCACUGAACCAACUAGUCCACUGAUCAUCAUCCCGGCGUGUAGUGCACACUAUAGUAUUAUUAAUAACUGCACUAAUAUAACCUGGAGUUAUAGAAAGGUGCACGUGCCGGCAGGCCGUGGGCCUCGUGUCGCCGUGUGCCGUGCGGCGUUUCCUUCACUAAAUGUUUAUGCAAAUUUACAUGGUACAAAUACAAAACAAAAUGAGUUGCAUUGUCUCAAUAUAGACUGGGCAUAACUGAUCAAAAUUCUAAUCCCGAUCAAAGUUGGCAUGUAGCUGCAUAAAUUGACAUGUACAUAUUUGUGCAGGAACAAAUACAAUUAGCAUUGAGCAUUAAGAUAACAUACAUAUAUCUCUUUUUUUAGACAAAUAACAUACAUAUAUCUGUAUGGAUCAAGGGCAGCAAAUAUAUAGUCCACCUAUUUAAGGCUGGGGGGAUCGCUUGGUUGCCACAUGGUUAAAGGCUCGGAGCAACGUGACCACCUGACAAAUAUAGAUGAGACAAGUCGCAUAAAACAAUCAAUUAUUAGUUUGCGUAUGUAGAACUGAUCAGAAGUUCGGAGUGUUUCAUUGAAAGUAGAAAUUUAGUUCAUCUAAGGAGAAAGUGUAUUUACCAGUGUGGUAUUGGUAUGCUAUAUGAGUAUGACUUAGAAACAAAGUUAAAAAUGAUUGUAUAUUUUGUUAGCAUAGCAGCCCAUUAAUAUAAGUAGGUAUAACUAUGAGGCUAUGACUUUCCAGGUUCAAAAGCUUAUGUGUUUAUCAAGGGCAGCACCCCACUGACCCCACCUUGACCCGAUAUACUCUGCCUACUUGAGGCUAAUUAUGCUACUUUGUGUAAUAGAUCAUAGUCCCUUUUUUGUCUAUCAGGCUUGAAGCUUGCAUAUGUUCUUGAAAUGUUUUCAUCAAUGGAUCUAACUCACUCAAUAUAUGUUGUUUUAGAUACACACAUAUCUUCUCUUUAAUCUGCCCAUACGGGAUUUUUAGAAUCUUUAGUGUAUAUUAUAGAAUUUUGAAAGAGAAAAAACAUUUGGACAGUAAUAAGGAUUAUCACUUAAAAUAGAAAAUAAAGGGAUAAGAUUUCAUGAGCAUUCUCAAAGAAGUUAACAGUUACAUCAUACCUUGUUGAGCCCAAACUGCAUGAAUCCCUGGGAUGUUAUUCUACGUAGGGGAAACAAAACGGUUCUCCCACCCUAAGGAGCAAAAACAAGUUAAGUAUAAUCAGUAUUAUUUGGUCAUACGGGGUGGAUUGCUACAAUGAUUUAGUAACCAUAUGGAUAGCUACACAGGGUGUUGGCCUUAUGGCAGAGAUAUGCUUUACGACACGUGACACAGUACAGCUAGAUCCGCCUUCUUUGCUCGGAUCACCUUUGUAUGUAAAAAAAUACAACCUAGAACAACUUACAUGCACAACCAUAGUUGUUUCAUCAUUGAAAAAAUAUUAGACAAAAUUGUGAAGUUGAAUUGACCUCAUAAUGUAUUGUCUUUGUUAACAUUUGGAGCAACGCUUGAAAAGGGAUCCAACAGUAAAUAUACCCAAACCAAAGUUAAGCAUAUGUUCUCACCAGCAGGAAGGAAGAGGCAAAAAUAAGGUCUGAACUGGCGCAUCAGUUCCUGGAAUGAGAGAGGGAGUGAAAGUAAAGUAACCAUUUGUUCUAUCUGUUCGUACCAAGAAAAAGGGAAACGUGCAUUCAGUGCGAGUCCAUUCUUAGCAGAAGGAUAAAAGAGAGAGAAAUGGCAGUGUCAUAUAGUCAUAACAUAUGUUCUCAAGAGGAACAUGAAAAAAUAGAGGUUGUAGAAAACUGGGAUUAUAGUCAGAAGCUUUGCGUUCCUACCGGCAACAAAAAAUAACAACGAAAAUUGUCAGCUAAAGUUCAUGUUCUUAAGUUUACAUGACAUAUGCAAGUAACAGCAGGCAAAGCAAAUGGAAGUGUUAAUCUAAUGAACGUCAAUCAGUUUGCCAGCGCAAAACUUCAAGGAAGGUAUCGUGACGGAGGGGGUGCAGACUCCAUGGAAGGUCGUUGGAUCUAGCCACAUUAUGUGCCCUGCAGCCUACUUGAUAAGCGCCAUAAACUGAAACACAUAGAUGCUCUUACACAAAAACUACUUACAAAAAUUGACAUUCAAAGUGUCAAAGGAUCAGAAUGAUUACCUCAUGGCCAAAUCAACAGGAGGGUUCCGUUCAUAUCCAUUAUCUUCAGCCAUUGAACAAUUCCCUUCCAUCUGCACAUAAGGUGGAGCUGUUGUGCAUUUAUGCAUUAAGAACUCGAACAGAGAAUGAAAAUGGAAGAUAUAAUACGUCUAAUCUGAAUUUACUGUGUGUUGCAUUUCAAUUGGAAUGCCCAAGGAUACAUCGUAUGCGACAUCAAGGCAGAAUCACUGCUUCAUGAGAACCAUAGAUGGUCGCCGUCAUCAGUAGAGCAGGGCAGAGAGCCAUUGCGAUUCGUCAGGCAAAAAAUUCCCCAAAUCAAUAUAGCAGAACCACCACCGGGCACUUAGAUUGACAAGACAUGGAACUGUACAGAGUGAAAAAAACCUUGAAAGAAAUCGAACUGUGUUGAAUCAUGGGUAGAGAACGGAUUGUGUGGUAGGGUGGGAAAUAAAAAUCUGCAGCCAGAUUGAAGAUGUGGAGGGGCAACCUGGUGGAUCGGAGAAGCAUUGUUGCUAGAGGGGAUAUUGCUGGAAGAAUAAGAAGAGAGGAGAGGAUACAGCUGGAGGGAACAAAUCAUAAUAGACGCACGAACAAAUUAGUAACACACCUCGCCGAUCCGGCUUCCAUUAAUGUUCGUAGGAACGUCUACUUUAUUCCCCCUUGAAUGACAGAUUGAUGACGGAUGAACUCCGAUCGCCCGCGAUGCAGCUCGGCACCUUUCGCAUCCCUAUCCUGCAUUGGUCAUCGUUGGAUCGAGCGAUCCCCGCGCCGCCCGCAUCGCGUGCGGCUGGCUUUCCAUCUCCAGUCAAUUCCCUCUGGCAGCGACCGGGCGCUCCGAUCGAUUCCACCAAGCGCAUCCUCUUGGUUGGAUUCCACACCUCCGGUCGAUCCAAUCGCGUGCGCCUGGCAUCGCCUUGUCUCGAUCCCGCUCCUCUGUAUCCCGAGUCUCUCUAUCCCCUCGAGCGAGAAACAAUUUUACUCUUUGUUCCGUUAAUCCUCUCCCCAAGAGGAUUGGAGGGGAUUGGCAAGGAUUGGUUCAUAUUCCUCAAACCCCUUCAAUCCACUCGGAUUUACAUGCAACCGAACAAGGCCUUAAGGAGCUCAGCACCCCUCUGCUUAGAUGAAUGGGCUACCAUGGGCCGACAGAAAGAGGCCCAGUUUACCAUAGGGCUUUGUUUCGGCCUCCAGAGCAGCAGCCCAUUAGGACAGCAGGCCCAUUACUUAACACAGGCGAGAGAGGUGGCUGUAGACAUUAGAUCGGACGGCUGGAAACGGCCAGAUCGGAAAAACGAACGGCCAGAAGCGCAAAUCGCUGAGAGGGCUCGCUUUAGGCUCGAUUAUACUGUCCUAAACUAGAUCAUUAUUGGCGCGCGUUGCCGCGCCCGUCUACUUUUCCAAUGGAAUAAUAGGAUUUUUACAAAUAUAUAGUCAUAAAGCAUGCUGUCAUCAGACAGUAAGAGAAAAACAUCAAACUAACAUUUGUAUAAAGUGCAUAUAUAUUGGAAGGCAAUAUAAAAGAGCCAAGUAGUGUAGUGAUACGAGAGGACUGUUUAAAAAAAAACUUGGGUCUUAACUUGAAUUUGCUUCAACAUUAGGUCUCACACGUGAGAGGUCUGAAUUGGGUGUUUGAGAAGUUGCCGGAUAUUCCCUUUUUGUCAAGGAGCAUUAGCAUCUGGCUUCGCAACCUCAAAGAUGGAAUAAAGAAUCACAUGCAUGAAUAAAUAUAAUAACAAAAUGUAGAAUGCAAAUCAUAAUAACAAAAUGGAGAACAUACCUGUUUCUAGCAUGGUGUACACUCUAGUACAAUAAUGAUGGAUAACGAAACACAAAUUUAGGCAAGCAAAUAAUUUCAAAUCACAACAUCACAUUCAGGUUUUUUUGAUCAGUAGAACCCUCCCCACGCAUAGCAAUUGAAGUCAAGUGUGCUGACCUUUUCUACAAAUAGAGCAAGGUUUGUAGUAAAAUUAUGUAGAAAGAAAAUGCUCAGAUUGGUAAAAAAAUUUGCUCGAACUCUCCUUUAAAAUGGCAAGCUUAUUUUAGGAUGCAUCUGCAACAAAACCAAAACCCGAGCACGAUGCAAUUACCUUUUGAAACUAAAUAAGCAUAUAUAGGUGUUUGUACAAUCACAAAAAACAUUAUCUUGUGCAAUCCGUAUAUAAACUAAGACCAGAUACCUUGUGGAAAAAAGAAAAGAAAAAACAUACAGAUGAUUUUGCAGAUUCCGUUAUGAGAAUCCUAGUUUUCUCAGGGGCUGCCAAGAGAUUUAGUAGGCUUACUUUCUUCUAAAGCAGUGAAUCCAUGUUUUCCAAGGAGCUGCAAGAAAGGAAUUAAUGUGGCAUUGAAUGAGUUAAAUAAGCAGAUAAUCAUCCUCGUUGUGCAUGCCAAUUUCGAAUAUAGUUUCUGCACAUCAUUUUGGAAAGAUGGUUGGUUUGUGUACUAAUUUCAAGAGAUGAAGAAAGAAAUUUAAAUGAGCAAUGACUACAUAAAAUAAAUAAGAGAAAUGCAUAGAUGUUUAGUAGACCUUUUUAGACAACAGAUCUUGAAUUUCUCUUGAUGUGGUUUCCCCUCAGAGUUAAACUCACAGGACACUUGGGCAUCCAUUCCUCUGACAGAAUUGAUGUGUCUUCCAAGUUCCAACCUUUGUCUGUUAAACUAAACUAAAAUAUUUGCUCUUUUAAUUUCUUUCUGCUUAAUAAUUUUGUAAAAGGGAAAGAAUCAACUAAAAGCUUAUCAACAAGAUCACAUACACUUCAAGCUAACAACUCCAUCAUGCAUAAAAUAAAUACGAGAAAUCUAAGUUUACGGAAAGUAGCGGCUAUUUGGAAUUCUUAAGUUUAUUUAGAAUUCUUAGGAUAAGUAGAAAAAGAUAUUGUAUAGAUACUAUGGAACUCACAUGGUUCAACCGAUCGAUUGUAUAUGUGCAUGUGAUCAGUGUCGUAUUAUGUACUCCCUCCGUUCCCAAAUACUUAUCUUUCUAGGCAUUUGAAAUGAACUCAACAUACGGAUGUAUGUAGACAUAUUUUAAAGUGUAGAUUCACUCAUUUUGCGCCGUAUGUAGUCACUUGUUGAAAUCUUUAGAAAGACAAGUAUUUAGGAACGGAGGGAGUAGUUCUCACGUAACAGAGAUAUUCCACAUACUAACAAACCACGUGCGAGCAUCUGCAGCCAUGUCAUGUGGGAUUCUUGUGUUAUGGUGGGAAAGAGGAGUUGUACGUACCUAUGGCCAGCGUGAAGCAAGUGCGGCAAGGCCACGGCCAUAUUGGACGACAGCGCACAUGGGAUGUUGGUGGGCACGACCGCUGGAGGUUGAGUUCGGGGGAGGUGCGCCGCCGCUCGAGGUCGACGUUGGUGCGCUGCCGUUCGAGGUCGACGUUCGUGGAGCGCAACGGCUUGCGAGACGAGGAGGAAGAGAUUGAGAUCGGGGAGACGUGCACAGAAGCACAGAUUGGAGUGGCCGCUCGUACCACCUUGUCGCUGUUGACGCUAGGGGCGCACAUUAGUUACCAUGAAUGGCUACCACGAACUGAUGCUUCACUGCUUUUAUGCCGGCGGGCCAGCUUCAAUUCGGUCGCCAGUCGCUUCCAAUCCCAUGUCCCUACCGCAUCAUCAGCUGCCUGCAUCGCUCGCCCCACAUCGAUCUGUGAGGCCCGUACCGCGCCGCAUCAGAUCAGAUGGUCUUAACCCUAGCCGCCACGCGCAGAGUGGCUGCGGGAAGGAGGAACGGCGACGGAGAAGUGAGGACUUCGCAGGCUCGUUAUUUUUUUCUGGUGUUGUGCAGACCGGACCUGCGGCUUCCUUAGAUGGGCUGUCUGGCCCAAUUAACGACAGUACUCCAAAAAAGCUACCGGAAUAGCUGCUCUUAAGACAUCAGGCCCAAGUUGUGGUCAUGUCUUCACACGAAUGAGAGAUUCACGUGUAUCCAACGGCCAGAAACAUUCCAAUCUUGAAAACGAACGGUCCAAACAACUGAUGGCGUGAGAGGCAAGGGAUUAGGUGCAGUUUUACUGUUCUUAAUUGGAGCACGCACGUUGGUUCAUUCGUAACGGCUGACGUUCCUCUCCUCUCCAGUCUAAACCACCCGUACUGUACCGUACGUAUAAAUGCCUUCUAAAAUACACGGUAUGCACCACCAUCACUCCAGAGAGUUUUCUCCCCCCUACCUACAUAUUACCGGCUCAGCCCAUCACAAUUCUUUCUUCUUCCCGAAGAAAGAAAAGGAGAUCUCGCCGCAGCCGGGAGUCUCCCUCACCGCUGCUCCGGAAGACCCUUCCGCUAGCGACCUUGGUCGUCGUGGUGGGGGGAGUCGCCGGAUCCAUGUAUGUGGACCUUUUUUUACUCUCGUAUUUUAGAUUUUUUAGGUUGUUCAUCAUCUUGGCUUCGGCGCCAGUGAUGGAAGCGCUGAAUAAAGUUUCUUCAAAUCCUACUCCGACGAGGCAAUCGGUACUAUGUUGUUUUCCCAACAACAAAAACAAAGGCCCAUUUUCAUGUACAUAUUUAUUUUUGUAUACGUCACAUAUGAAAAUAUGUUGUUAUGAAAUUUUCCCACAACGUGUUAUAUAUGUAUUGUGUAUGUACAAAAAGUUUUGAUUCUUUUUGUGAUGUAGAAAUAUGUUUUUAAAAAUCCUCCCCGGAGCCCGUCCACCGUUCGCAAUUUUCGUCUCACCACCUCUCUGCCUGUCCAUCCUACACUACGUGUAACGUAGCUCAUUCUAGCUUUCAUAAUUCCAACCAUCGAUGGGAGAAAAAUUGGAGCGCCAGAUGCAAAGAACGAUCUAAACAAUGGUUCACUUGAAAUUGUGAAUGGGAGUCAUCGAGCCAAAACACCACUCCCAUUAUGCUAUAUUCUUCGUCGUGUCAACAUGACUACUAACAAAGAAAUAAAGGAGUGUAAAACCAAGACUACAGACUUGAGAGGAGAUCCAAACCCAUGAUCCGUGUCAUCUCCCAGCCAACUAAAACCACAUCGUACAAGGCAACGCGAUGGACCUGCUAGCACAAGAAGCUAUGAAGAAAGACAUGUAGUCUUUUAUCGAACAAUCUUUUUUUGCGCUAAAUUGGAAAGCACAUACUCGUCGCAAAUUAACAUAAGCGUGAUUUAUCUCAAAGGGAUAUUUGGAGAUUUGAGUUUCAUCACUGAAGGCUGAACAAGGAGACAUUUUCCAUUGGUGAGAUAAAGAACCAAAUCAACGGACCAGCAUUCCCUGGUACAUUUUUUGUCGACGCUUCCAUAUGAGAAAACCCUUGUUCUUGCGCGUGGUGGAGGCAGUGGACACACAUGAUCCCUACUUUUAAUCUCUCAUUUGCAAAAAUGCAUGGCUGCUAUAACGAUGCUUGCAUUAGGUACCAUUGCCGAUGUCUUUGGUGAGGGCAGGGGAUAGCACAUGCCUUGGUAACACUGUGAGAUUUGCAUGCGCUGUGUUGAAGGUGUUUGAAGCAGAGUAUCUGAGAGAACCUACUU